UCUUGAGUGGUUAAAAGAUAGAACAGUCUAGCCAAGUGCCAUGUCUCUUAUUCUUGAUCAGCUAUAGCUCUGGGAUUUUUGCAGAUUUUCAAAUAAAACUCAGAAUUCCUUGUAUGAUUCUCUCAGGUCUUUCUUUUGUGGUAUUUUUGAAUCCUUACCAAGGCAUUGAUGGUAUAUGCCUUCUCUCAAGAUAUGUGGUAUUUGGGGUAUAAGGCAUAGUGACAUUGCCUUCUCUCUCAUCCUACUCUAAUAAGGCUUUAAUAUCUGGAGCUCAUAGGUGGGAGAUAAAGUAUACAUACUUACAAGACAUGUAUUGCAUAGUGAAACCAUGGAUCCAAAGUAACAAGUCAAUAAGUUUAAUCAAGAUGUGCAUGUGUGGCGAAUGAAUGGUAUAUGGUGAUGAUGGUGAUAACAAUGGUGAAAACAAUGGUGGUGAAAGUCUAAUUCUACUUUACUCUUCUGAGGGGAUACAUACCUUCCUUGCUUUUGAAACUUUAUGAGGAGAAUGAGAUGCUCUUCUUUUUCGUUUCUCUCAGGUGGGUAUCUUGCACCCCUAAUUCUACUGUCGGACACUUGUCCAUUUUUACCUCUCAUCUCACUUUUUCUUUUCUUUCGAGGUUCCGAGCACUUGCUCCUUUUUAUUUCCUCGUAUUAUUUUCUUCUUCUUUUUUUUUUAGAGCACUCAUCUCUUGAGAUAAUAUAGCAAGUGGUAGUAACAAGAUAACUUGAGCAUUUAUUUCACAAGGGGAAAACAGAAAUAUUUUUGGUUAUUCUCUCCCGGAUUAGGAGUAGAAUAUUUUUAGGUGGUUCUGGAGAUGGAAAUGAGUGGAUGUAUGUGGAUGGUACUUCCGGAGUAGAAGUAGCAUAUAUGAGUGAACGUGCAAGUGAAAUCUUAAUUUAACCACAUGACAAGCUCCUAAGGGUCUACACAGCUUGACCAUACUCAAUGCUAAUAAGCAGUAAAUAGUAAAUGUGUGGCUCAAAGUCUAGCAAGCAUGUACAUAUGGCUGUGGUAGGAAUUUAAGCUCUCAUCAUACAGGAACUCAUCAUGCAACAUUUUAAAGAUUUUCAAAGAUAAAUUCUCCAGAAUUCUAGCAUCUCUAGGAACAGAUAAACAGCAGCUCAACCUUCCCAUAUCGUAUCCGUUAACAACUUAGACUUCAGAUCAAGUUUUCAUCCCACAAGUUUAGGUCUAGGGCAAGCUUUAAAUUAUAACAGUUAUGUCUAAACUUGAGAGAGAACUUAAAAUGUGCAAAUUAGGCAGAGCAACUAUUCAUCAUAUCCAUGCUUAAGUUUUAUUAGAUACAGAUUAGCAUAGCCACUUUAUUUAUUAAUUAAACACACUAAGUAAUAUAUAUAUAAGCAUAAAAUCUUUAUUUGGUUUUCCCGUAGUUUAUGUGUAUUAAUAUUCUAAAAUAAUAUAAAUAUAAAGAUAGAUAGAUAGAAAUACUUAUCGAGAUAAAUGGGGGUGCUCUCCCCCAAGCUGAAUUUUGACGUAAUUUCUCUUGAUGUAGCUAGCAGGUGGCAGAGGUGUAUUUGAAAGCAGCAUUCUGACAGCGAUUAGAAUGUCCUCCGUCUGCUAGUCUUCUUCAUUCUUAAAUUCUGUGGAGCUCAAAUAGACAACAAAGCUUGUGGAACUGAUUAAGUGUUAGCAUAAAUAUCUAGCCUUUGUAAUCUUGAGACUCCUUAAUAAUUAUUACUCCCUGUUUUUAUAUUUUUAUUUUAUAAAGCAGAAAAAUAUUUAUUUUAUUUUUAUGCCACCACAGUGAAUGUACGUAUGAGUUUUAUGCCACUCGUCUAUUCACAUGGGGCUUACUAUUUUUCACAUUUUUAUUUUCUUUUUAAGACAGUAUGAGCAUGUUUAACUAAGUAAACUAUUUAAAAUAACUGAAAGGGAAAGGGUAACUACCAAGUUUACCUCUUGGCAAGGCGUUCGGUGUUUUUAAGUCCUCCGAACGGGACUCUCCAAUUUCUUAAUCGUCCUGAGGUUCGUUGGGUGGCGUAGUCGGUACUUCCGGCAGCGCCUCCUCUUCUUGUAUAGUUAUCUUCAUUUUCCAUACCUGACUCGGUGCUUCAAUCUCCUCUGGAUAAUUCUGUUUAAACUCUACGUUUUCUGACCUUACAACUUCUCCUUCAUAGUCUGCCCAUCCGUCCUUCAUGAUCUGCCUCCUCUGGUUGCGGUUGCGUCUUUUUCUGACCUGCUUAGAUUCUUCAACGAUAUAGUUAGGGUCAGUAAAAUAACGGCGUACCUUCUCUGAGGGGAAGUGCAUAUGGACUUCUCCGGUUCCAAUAUAGAUAAUUGCUUUAACGGUGCUGAGGAACGGUCUUCCAAGGAUGAUGGGUGGAUCAUAUUCAUCUUCUCCCAUGUCAACAACUUGAAAGUCUGUGUAGACAAAGUGAUCGUCUAUUUUGACUGGGACAUUAGAUACUAUUCCUUUAACUUCUCGAAAUGUCUGAUCUGCCAUCUAGAGUUGAAUGUAUGUUGGUCUUAGUGGCAUGGUUCCGAACAAGAGCCGAUAGGUGACUGCGGCCAUUAUGUUGACGCCUGAUCCGGUGUCGCAAGUCGUCUUGUAGAAGUUGUAUCCAUUUAUGGAGCAGUAAAUGCUUGGCAUUCCUGGGUCAUCCUUCUUGGUCAAAAACGGUGACUUCAGUUGGUGAUCUUGGCCUCCAUGGACUACAGUGACCAUCUUAGCUGACUCGGUCCACACUUGCCUGUUCCUGUUCCUCCUGUUGGUCCUCUUCCUUGAUUCACGUCUGGAUUGAUUUGGAAUUUGUGUAGUCUUGUUCUUGAAGAAAAAUGUCUCCUUCUUCCCUUUGACGUAGAAACUGAUCUUGGCAGCACUGGCGUAGAUGAUAGCUCCCGUGGUGUUCAAGAAUGGCCUCCCUAAGAUGAUAGGUGCUCUCUCAUCAUUUCCGGUCUCUACCACUACGAAGUCUGCUGGGGCAUACAAGGUACCAACUCGGACACAAAGGUUCCUCACUAUUCCUUUUGGAAAAGUUAUCGUCUGAUCUGCAAACUGCAAACACAUGGUUGUCUCUAAUAAAGGAUAUGUAAAGAAUUUUUCAUAGAGUACCCUGGGUAUAAUGUUGACACUGGAGCCAAAGUCACAGAGUGCUUCUGGGACAUCCACCAUGCCGAUAGAGAUCGGGAUGACGGGGUGUCCUGGAUCGCCUCUCUUGACCGGCAGACGGUCAGUAGAAAAUUCAUUGACGGGGUUACUCCAAUUACCUGCAUCAAACACGUCUACAAGAUUUGCAGAUUCUAAUCCUUCCGGUUGUGAUGGUAUACCGGGGUUAGUAGUAGGAACAGCAGCAGCUAUCUGAUUUAACUGAGAUUCAAUCAUUUUAUUAAAGCUAAUUUGAUUCUUGAUGGCAGUAGAGAAAUUAUCCAUUCUAUUAUUUAUAUUUUCUAGCAUUUUAUCAUUAGAUGCCAAUUUCUUAGAUAGGUUAUCCAUUAGCUUACCUUGAUUAGACACUAACUCUCUCAAAGGUGGAAAAUUAUUAUUAUUGUUGUAAGAAUUGUUACCUUGAUAAUUACCUAAGUAGUUAGGCCUCUGUUGAUUCCAACCUUGAUUUUGUUGAGGACGGUUGUAGUAGUAGUAGUUGUUGUUGUUGAUGUAGUUCACAUCCUCAAGUAUCUCAGGGCAGUGGUUGCCUGAGUGUCGUGUGUCUCCACACUCCUCACAAGUCAUGUGAGAGUCGUAGAUGUGCAUAACUUCUUUCUUGUCUCCAGCUUUAUCAUCGAGCUUCUUCAUGAGCAGGUCUAGCUUUGCAGACAGCAUGUCUACCUCCUUCAGCUGAUGCAUACCUCCACCUCUCUUGCGUGUCUGGGUCCUCUCUUCAUUCCAGCUUUGAUUGGACGCCAUCUUCUCCACAAGAGCUGUGGCUUGUGAUAUAAUAAGUGAUAAGAAUGCUCCUCCAGCUGCAGCAUCCAUGGUCUCUCGGGCACUGUUGCUGAGCCCAUGAUAGAAUGUCUGCAUCAAUAGCCAACUCUCCAUUCCAUGAUGGGGACAUUCUAGGAUGUAGUCUUGAAAGCGCUCCCAUGCUUCUGGAACAGAUUCAUCAUUUUGUUGCUGAAAACUUGUAAUCUUCCCACGGAGAGCAUUGGUCUUGCCCAUGGGAAAGAACUUAGCCAGGAAGUUUGUUGAGCAGAGUACCCACGUAGUAUUCUUCUCCUUUGUAGCAUAGAACCACUGCUUCGCUCUUCCUAACAGUGAGAAUGGGAAGAGGCGAAGUAGUAGCGUCUUUGGAAACUCCUGCUAUGAUGAAUGUGUUGCAAAUCUCCAGAAAGUGUUGUAAAUGAGCACUAGCAUCUUCGUGUGCCUUCCCACAGAACUGGUUGGAUUGCACCAUGUUGAUAAGUCCAGGCUUGAGCUCAAAGUUGCCAUCGAUCUCUGCAGCAGGUCCAGUGCGGAUGUUGUCCGUAGUGGGAGCUGAGAACUCGCGGAUUGAUUUGUUCACCAUGACUUCGAACUCUGAAGACAAGUUCCGGUGAUCUUCUUGAUUGGAUGAAGCUUCUUGCUGAAGUGUUGAUGAUCUCUUCUUGGCUCUCGUCUUCUUGAAUAAUGCUUCCGGAUUGUCAACAAAAUUUCCUGAAAGAUGUCUUCUAUUCAUACAUUCCCCUGCAUAAGAUAAAAUAGAAAAAUAUCGGGGUAAAACUGUAUGAGAGAAUAGAUAAGCUCAAUCAUAUUAGUGAUGCGAAUGAUAACUCAAAAUCUUUUAUUCCAUUCCUGAUUGGUAAUCAACCUUCCCCAGCAACGGCGCCAAAAAUGCUUGUUGGGUAUUCUUAACAUCAUUACUAAAAGUAGACUAAGUUCUAAAUCUAGCAACGGUGCCAAAAAUGCCAAACCUAUACCUUACACCACUUAAGCCAAGUUGUCAUCCCCAGCAUGAUAUAAGAGACGUGGUAUUGAAAUAUGCAAUUGCUCUUCUAAAUAAAUAAUUAAUGGGAUCUGCAAGCGCACAGAUUAAUACCGAUGCAGCAUUUUAACCGGGAAGUAUUCCAGGUAUCGUUAUUUAUAUUUUUACCACUGGGAAGGGAUUAGCAAUCAUCACUAUUGAUUACAGAAUAGAAUAUGAGAUUGAGCAACUAUCAUUGCAUGUAUAAUUGAGAACAUUAUAUCUAACUCUUCAUACAGGGAUAAGUGUCACAUAAAAGAUAUAUGAAAUAAUAAUAGUGACAAGGAUAACUAAUCUGAUCUAGCCACAUAAUAAAUAUGAUAAGCACCUCAAUUAGAUACUCUAGAAAGUCAUUAGCAUGGUAUCAGAACGAACUACAAGAAUAUUCCCUAAGUUAUUCUUAACUAUAUAGUCUAGCAUAUCAUAGUUAGUGCAAGCAUACUUAGCAAUCAUUGCGAGACAAGACUACGCCCAUGCAUAGUGAUAUUAGCAAGGAAUAUGAGAAACAUAGCAAUCACUCCCCUGUAAUAAUGUUGCUCUGCCAGCCCAAUACACGAGAGGGGGACUAUAUAAGAAUCAAUGAAGCUGUCACUAUCACGAACUACCCCACGAUCUGGCAUAUUGGGUACAAUCGCAGAUAAAUACGGUAUAAGCACCAUGCCUACACAAUAUCUAUCAUUUACCCAUGGAUCCGAUGGAUAAACGCUAUACGAUCCUAAGCAUGUAUAUAGAUCGUAUCUAACUAAGCCAAGUACAUAACUAUGAUAAACUAAGAACAAUAUAAUCCUAAAUAUAAGCAAAUAGAGCAAAGUCAUAAGCAAUAUAUUGAAGUAGAACAAAGUCAUAUUCAUAAUAUUGAAGAACAAAGAUAAUUAGAAAGCAAUUAGGAGCACAAUUAGAAGAUUACCAAGAAUCCUCCUGACAGAUCCGGAAAACAAUCGAAGAUUGACUCCUUCUAGUUCUAAUCCUAUGUAGCUAUGCUAAUCUAGAUAUCUAAUUGAUGUGGUGGCUCUAAUCUUGAUCAGAGGCUUCUUCUCCCUUGAUGGAACAAUGAAUUAGGGUUUAGAGGCUCUCUCCUCCAGGGGCCAGGGGGUCUGGUUUUAUAGUCCCUUCAAGUGAAUAUGGGCCCUUGGAUCAAACCGACAUAGAUUGUAUGGUUUAGAUUCAUCCUUUAGGUCGGUGGAGACUUCCCGCAAAGCAGAGUCCUGAUUGGACUUGGACAGGGGGCGGGCGCCCAGUAGGACAGGGCGGGCGCCCUGCCUCUGGCCCCGAUUCGCCUCCGCUUCGGUCUCGUGGCUUCUGGAGUCUUCUAGAUGUAAGAUAAUUGCCCAGCACGUUAAUAUCUUUACGUAAUCCUGACAUGUGGGCCUUUCUUCCAUAUUUCCUGAUAACCCCCUGCAGAAAUAGACAAACACCAAAACUCGUGGAAUUCUGUCAGAUAAAACCCUAAGUCUAGAUCUUUAUUUUAUUUGGAUCCUUUUCUUUAUUUAUUUGAUAAUUAAAUUUGAUACUUAAGGACCGUCAACAUACGGUAGAAGGGCCGGCGAUGGUCGUCCAUAGACGACGUCGAACGGCAUGGUGCGCAACGCCGAGUGGUAGGAGGAGUUGUAGCAGUACUCCACCCACGGUAGCCACUCGAGCCACGAACGCGGGCGAUCGCCGGUGACACACCUCAGGUACAUGCCGAUCGUGCGGUUGACCACCUCCAAUUGGCCAUCGGUCUGGGGGUGGAACGCGGUGCUGAGCCGCUGCUUGACGCCGGUCAUCUUGAACAGGUCACGCCACAGGUGACUCGUGAACACAGGGUCACGGUCACUGACGAUGGAUUCCGGUAACCCAUGGAGCUUGACGAUGCCAUCGAAGAAAGCCUUGGCGACAGAUGCCGCCGUGUAGGGGUGGCUCAAAGGCAAAAAAAUGUGCAUAUUUGGAGAAUCGAUCAACCACUGUCAGGAUGACACUUUUACCAUUGACACGAGGAAGGCCCUCGAUGAAGUCCAUGCUAAUAUCUGCCCACACUUUGGUGGGAAAGUCGAGGGGUUGGAGCAGGCUAGCCGGAUGCAGGUGAUCAGUCUUGUUGCGUUGGCAGGUGUUGGAGGCGCCGACGAACUCGUGGACGAUGCGGCGGUCGUGGUCGAUGAAGAAGUCUUGCCGGAGUCGUUGGAGUGUUUUCUGGACGCCUUCGUGGCCCGCGUGUGUGAGCUGUACCGCGGCGUUCAGCAUUGUGGAGGACGCCGGGAUGUAGACACGCGCGCCGUGCAUGACGAGGCCGUUCGCGACGCGCCAGGGGGCACCGCGUUCCACCACGACGGUGUCCCUGAACUCGCGGAGGUGAGGGGCGGUGGCAAGCUCGUGGCGGAGGUCGUCGUAGAACUGGAACGUUGGUGUAGAGAUGGCGAGGAUGCUGUUGGCGUCGGUGUCGGUGUCGCGGCGCGACAGGGCGUCGGCCACGACGUUGAGGUGGCCGGGUCUGUACUCCACAGUGAAAUCAUAGGCAAACAAUUUGCUUACCCAUUGGUGCUGUGGCACCGUCGACAGGCGCUGAUCGAGCAUGAACUUGAGCACGUAGUGGUCAGUGCGGAUGCCAAACCGCCGCCCCCCAGAGAUAGGGGCGCCAGUGUCGAAUGGCCUGAACCAAGCCGAUGAGCUCCCGUUCAUACGCCGCUAGUUUGAGGUGUCUUGCGGCGAAGGGCCUGCUGAAGAACGCGAGAGCGCCAUCGCCCUGGUGGAGCACCGUGCCAAAGCCCGAUCCGGAGGCGUCGCAGUCCACCGUGAACGGGCUGUCGAAAUCCGGCAGCUGCAGGACUGGUGCGGUGGAGAGCGCGUGCUUGAGGGCGUCGAAGGCCGAUGUUGCCUCCGGUGUCCAUGCGAAGCUCUCCUUCUUGAGGAGGGCGGUGAGCGGCGCGACAAGCGUGCCGUAGUCCUAGAUGAACCGGCGGUAAUAACCCGCCAGUCCCAGGAAUCCGCGUAGGCCGCGCACUGAGCGGGGUUGAGGCCACGACGCAACGGCUGCGACCUUCUCGUUGUCCAUGGCCACUCUUUGGCCUGAGAUGACGUGGCCCAGGUAGUUCACCGUUGGCUGGGCGAACGAGCACUUGGAGAGCUUCAGCCGGAGGUGGUGUUCGCGCAGCGCGGUGAGGACGAUGUUGAUGUGCUGUAGAUGGGUUGACCACGACGGGCUGUAGAUGACGAUGUCGUCAAAAAACACCAGAAUGAACUUACGGAGGAACGGCCAGAGGACGGUGUUCAUGAGGCUCUGGAACGUCGCUGGCGCGUUCGUGAGGCCAAAUGGCAUCAAUAAAAACUUGAAGUGCCCUUCAUGCGUGCGGAAGGCUGUCUUCUCCACAUCUUCGGCGUGUACUCGGACAUGGUGGUAGCCCGAACGGAGAUCUAGCUUCGUGAAGAAGCAUGCGCCAUGGAGUUCGUCGAGUAGUUCCUCCAUGAUGGGGAUCGGGAACUUGUCCUUCACCGUCUGCUGGUUCAAGGCGCGGUAAUCCACAUAGAACUGCCACGUUCCUUCUUGCUUCUUGACGAGGAGUACGGGCGCAGAAAACGCUGAUGUGCUGGGCCUGAUGAUGCCUUGUUCGAGCAUGGCACGACACUGCGACUCCAAUUCAUCUUUUUGGAGUUGGGGGUACCGGUAUGGCCGGACCGCCACCGGCGCCGCCCCUGGCAGGAGGUGGAUCCUGUGAUCGCAGGGACGAGCCGGCGGCAGGCCGGUGGGCGUGGCGAAGACGUCGUCGAAGGAGUGGAGCAGCUUGUCGAGCAGGGUCGUCUCGUUGUGGUGGAUGGCGUGCAGCCGAGUCGACUGGACAUCGUAGCGAGUCGAGCCGAUGCCGUGCCAGAAGACGCGGCGCUGCUGGUGCCAGAAGGCCAUGCACAGGUCGUCGAAGUCCCAUGGGAUGGGGCCCAGCUUGCGGAGGAAGGAGACGCCGAGGACCAUGUCGUAGGUACCCAAGGGAAUGGUGUAGCAGUUGAUGUCGAAGAACUCGUCCGCGAUGCGGAUGGCGACGUCGCAUGCGUACCCGCGACACGCGACGCGGUCACCAUUGGCCACGAUGACGCCAGAGCUGGGGCAGUGGUUGAAUGCCAGCUUGGUGCGGCGCGCGACGUUGAGCCUGACGAAGUUGCUGGUGGAGCCGGAAUCCAAUAGCGCGAUGAAUUGUUCGUUGCCGAUGGAGACGUAGAGCUGCAUGGUCUCCUCGGUACGAAUGCCGGUGAUGGCAUGUAACGAGAUCAGCGGCUCGUCGAGGUCGAAGGCUGCCGGAGCUGGUGGCGGCCGGUUGUCGUCUUCCGGCUCCUCGACCGUGUAGUCUGUGACCUCAAGAUAAAAAACAUGGGGGCACUUGUGGCCCUUGACAUAAGGUUCAUCACAGUUAUAGCAAAGGCCGAGCUUACGACGCUCAGUCAUCUCCGCCGACGAGAGUCGCUUGAAUGGCCUGGGCGGAUCGACGCGGACGGAGUCGUCGUUGUGGAGGCUGGUGCGCGCAGAGUAGCAAGUUGUCGAUGUACCGGCCGGUGCGGGGCCGUCGGUGGCUGCGACGGGGCGUUGCGGAUCUCGAACGCGCGGGCGAGCCGGACCGCACGGUGAAGAUCUUGGGGUUCAUGGAGUUCGACGUCCACCCUAAUGUGAUCAGGGAGGCCACCGGUGAAGAGGCGCGCCUGCUGUACGACCUCCAGGUUCCCCGCGUGCGCCAUGCGCGCCUGGAAUGCCUCGGCGUAGGUGUCGACCGUGGACGUGAACGGAAGUCGCGCGAGUGCCGCCAGGUGAUUCGUUGUCAUCGGAGGGCCAAAACGCUGGUGGCACAGCUCCCCGAAGGUCGCCCAAUCCGGUCGGCCAGCAGUCCAUUCCAGGACCAGGUACCACUGUUGGGCGACUCCGGUGAGGUGGUACGAUGCAUACCAGACCUGAUCGGUCUGGUGCGUCAUCUGGGCAUGGAAGAACUGCUCACAGCGGUUCAACCACCCGAGCGGAUCCUCCUUGCCAUCGUAUGUGGGGAAAGUGAGUUUGUGGAAUUUGGGUGGCAUGUCAGGGGAGGGGGAUAUAUGCUGGAAUGGUGGUGGUGACGCCAUGGGCGCUGAUGGCAUGGGCAUGGGCAUUUGUUGUAUGGAGGCGAGUGAUGGUAUUGGUGAUGGUGAUUUCGGCCAGCAUAUCUGGUUCAGAGGGAGGCCAUAUGGCGGUGGUGUUGUGUUGGUCACGGCCGGAGUUGGGGCCGGGAGCGUUGCUAUGGUCGGAGUUGGAAGGGAAGAGAUGAUCUCGGAGGAUGCGGUGGUCACUCCCGUCGUGGAAUUGGCAGGCAGGGCCAGAGGGCUCCCAGCGCCCGGCAGGCCAAAUUGAGGACUCGCUGGUGGUGGGCGGUUCUGUUCUACGGCUGUAAGGCAUGAUGAGAUCUGACCCAUCUGCUGCUGCAGGCCAUAGAUUGCGGAUGUAAGGGUGGUGAGUUGAUCGGUGGGCACAGCCGUGUAGUGAAUUGGGGACUCGGCUGAUGGAGCGGUGGGCAUGAUGGAGACACCGAUGGACGGUGUGUCCCUCGAUGCUGGGAUGCUGGGAGAUGGCGUUGCGGUGGUGGGAGUGAUGGGGGGAAUUUCGGUGCCCGAGGUCGCCAUGGAAUCCGAUACCAGGUUGGUAUGGCGUAGGGAUCUCAAAUGGUAGUUAUGGGAGGGAGGAGGACGAGGCUUGGAAGAGCGGUGACGAACUGGCGGCGCCAUGGCUCGGCGCCGGGGUUCUGAGUGUUGGAGACAAGAGGAUGACAGUGAAUAGUAUGGCUGGGUGCCUAAGGGAGACAAUGUGUCUCAAUCCCAGGCUGAUCCUUUCCUUCAUCAACAUUCGAUACUUAUACAAAUUGUUUAAGCAAACUCACUCCUGAAACUAAAGACUGCCGUCCCUUCUAACAUGCAAUGGAAAUACUGAAACUAAGGACUGUCGUCCCCUUCUAACAUGCAAUGGGAAUAAUUCAAACGAGAAUGAACAAACUCCUGGAGACUAGUGAUGCAUGCAGAAUUCUUGCUGGUCCUAGCCAUUCCUGCAUUCACGGCGCUGGUAGACUUGCCCGGUCAUAACAUCCAUGGUGUUAAUCCAUUCAUCCGCUUCCAGUGGUUCCAUGGCCUCCUUAAAGACCGGUGGUUUGGUGUCCAUGAAAUCAUUGAAAGAGCUGUAUUGAUUCACUUCACGGCCGCCCUGGUUAUCCCCACGGUGGGUGUUGUCAGCGAUAUUGCGUAAGGCAACUUCCAUGUUUCGCUGCAUCUGUUCCAUGUUUUGUUGGCUCCCCAGAAACUACGCGAAAAACACAUCCGCAGUGUACGGAGGGGGCGGUGGUGGUGGCGGUGAUGGUGCUCUUUCCUCAUUCCUGCGAGCCCCACCUCCGGAGGAACCUUCUCCAACACCGGGGUUGCUGUUACCCCCGCUAUGCGUUUGCACCAUCUGCAUGCGUCAAUGAUAAGCAGUCGUUAGGAGUUGUGAUCAACUAGUAGAUAUAUGCAAAAUCAUGCCACACUGAAUUUACUGAUGAAAAUAAAUCCACAACAGAGGCACAAUAAUUCACCAUCCACACACAACAUCGCUAACUGAUUACUUAACAUUAAACCAACAGGGUUCGCAUACAUCCUGAAUUGCCAGCAUACAUACACUGGACUUUUAGCGUCAACACAACUUCAACACAUAAAUUCUAACACACCCAAGAUCCAACAGAUUACAACACAUGUUAUGCAACAACCGCAGCAAAAGAAGAAGGACUAGCUCUAGAGCUCUAGCAUCUACUCGAUAUGGUCGCUGUCCAUGCUGGAACCUUCCUCGUCCUCAUCUCCACUAGCGGCUGCCUCCAUCUCUAGGUCCUCAUCCAUCUCAUCCUCAGAGUCUAACUCGGCUGCUCUAGGUAGGUUGUCAGGGUGGAGCUGGUUAUGCAGCUGAUGGAUCUCCUCAUGCAGGUUCUCAUUGUACUCCUCAGCAUUAGCUAAAUGCUGAUCAAGCUCCAGCUGUUGGCCCUUAGGGUGUCCUCUUCGUGCCAGGCUUCAUUUUGCUGACCAAGCUCAUGAACUAGCAUGCGCUCGCAGUUCCUAUGAGCUGUGGUCACCCUGUCCCUCUGCUCUCUCACUGCUAGCAGAUCCUAACUCAGCACACUGUUCUGCUGGACCGCCUAGUCCCUCUCUAGAGUCAUACGAGCCAACUCUGCCUGUAGCCUCUCAACCUCACUAUCAAACUCAAGAUGUAGCUGGCACUUCUCAUCCUGAACUGUCAGAAGAGAACCCGACAAACGCCCCAAGCAGCGCCCUAGACCCUCAUAGGUCUUCAUCAUGGCCAAGAUAGCACUCAUAGCUGUACUAUCACUGUGCUGAUCCUCAUCCACACUCCUCUCUAGAGCAUUCACCUCGGACUGAUCCCACACCGAAGUGUAGGGGUCACCCUAGGGAAACACCCCAGCGAAGUCGUGGGCCAGCUCCUGCGGAAACCUCUCCAUGAUGUCCCUCAGAACCGCAAAAGUAGCCUUGCUAGCACCCUGGAAAGGCGUGGUACCUCGGGACUCGUACACUCAGCUGCCUCAGGCGGCGUCACCGCCACUGGUAGGAAUCACUGCCUCUAUCCCCACCAGGGUCCCAUCACCGAGCUGCUCUUUGUUCCAAUAGUAGCGAGGUUCCCUUCCUUCAGGAUACCCCAUAGAGCGAAGCACUCUCCAUACCCGAAGGAGUAUACAAGUUUUUAAUAUAGGUUGGUUGUCCAGUAUUUUAGUUUGCUCUAUCUAUGCUAAUGAAGAGAUAGUAUUAAUAUUGUUUUAGCAUAGAUCAUAUUUUAUACAGGCGUGGAUUGAGGUAAAGUAACUUGUAGUAGAAGAUAAAGUGAAUGAAUCAUUAAUACUCACAGUACUUUUAUUCAAGAUGAAUGAGUUCUACAAAGUUAUUAAAGUUCAGCAUGUCCUUGUCUCAUCUCUAAUUCAAAUUUAUCUCAUGACUCACCCAAAUUAAUUUGAAAAUUUCUUGCAAGGUUUAGUCGACAAAAUAUCCAAUGUCUACCACAAUAUAUUAUCAAUUAAAAAAUCAACCUAGACACCACGUCUAAUUUGAUUUAGGAAGGAAUUUUAACCUAAGCACUGUAACACCCCAGUGUUAUGGUUGCAUCAAUCACAUGCAUAACAUGAGCAUCAUCAUCUACUCAAGCAUAUCAUGAUCAUCAUCUACCUUGAGCCAUGUCAUUUUAUGCUUAAGUGUGCUUUAACUUGUUUAAUCAUGCUUCCUAUGCUUGUGUUUGUGUGAACCAUGCCCAUGCUUGUGUGUUAAGUCUUGGUAAUUAGUUUAUCUAUGCUUAACUCAACCAUAGGAACAAUGUUCAUGUUGAUCACUUCUCCAAAAUAAUCACUUAAAUCUCUUUUGCUUAGGCUUUUAAAAAGUGUUUCAUAAAAUGUUUGCAUGUCAAAACUUUCUACAGCAAAGUUGUAGAAAUUUUAUAAGGAACAAAAGUUGUUUUAUGACCAUCUCAUGACAAUGAUCACAUCUUGCUCGAAAAGUGCUUUCAAGGCAGUUUUGGGGGCUGUUUUGGCACUUGACCAAAUUUGGCUAAGUCUUGGCGCCACCAGUUUGCGCGAUCGAUUUUGAAAACCUCAUAUCUAUCAAUCCAGGCCGAUCUGGAUUUUGCUCUAGUUGACAAUGUUGUAGAACUCAGCUAGUACUCCACCUUUGUCAACUACGCCAUCUCCUAAUUCGUUUUGAUUUGUGAGUUAAUCGCUGUCGAAGUCGCUUUGUCAGACAACCAUCGCCAUGACUGAAUCGAAGCCGAGCUCGUCGACGUGGCCGACCGGAGACAGAACAACGGUGACAUUUGGCGCCCGUACGUCAUUCCUGGCCCCGCUCGUCAGCUCCCAACGUGCGCAUGACCUCCACGGUGACGCCCCGGACGCAGUGGACGUGUCCACUCUCUCCUCCCUCUCGCUCUCUCGCCAAAAAAGCGGCCGCAGCGAGCUCACCGUCGCGAGCUCACUCCGGCGAGCUCAAACGCGCUCCUCGCUGCAUUUCUGCUCACCAAAACUCGCCCACAGCUCCACCGUAACCCGCUCUCCAUCCUCCACCCGCAAACUCGCCGUGAAACCCUUCGGUGAGCCAACAUUUCCGACUUCUCCCAAAUCGGGUCGCCGUGACUUUCUUCUCCGGCGAAAUCAAUGCUGAGCUUCUCGGAGCCUCUCGUCUUCUUUGGUUAGGUCUUAAAGGUAGCUUUGGUCAUUAGCGAACGUUUGUGCCACUUGGUGGAUGCUCUAUCGCACUCACCGUCGCCGGACACGACGCGCAGCGCCGCCGUGUUUCCGCCGGAGUUCGGCUCUCUCGUGGCCAGCUCAUUCCACACCGUUUCAAGCCUAGUCACCUACCUAGGAAGCUUCGCCGUAGUUCACUGUUGCUGUAGGAAACCCUAGGUCGCGCUCUACCAGCCUGAGAGCUCCGGCGUAACGCCGAGCGCCUCCGCCGAGCCGCCAUGGUCGACGGCAAGCCAUUUCCGGUGGCUCCACCGUGGGGAAAAGGGGGUCACUCGGUUCGCAAGGGUCUGGGGAUCACGUUGGUACCCUUUGUUUGGCCGAAGACCUCACCGUCGCGGAGAAAUCGCCGGUGAAAGUCAUCUCGGUCGUGAGGAAGACGACCCUGACACGAGGGACCCGCUGUCAGUGACACACCGUUUCCCUCCUUUUCUUUUAUUCAAAUCCAGAUUUUUGGUAUUCUUGCAAAAAUCAUAUCUUCUGUUGCUUUGACCCAAAAAUUGUGAAAUAAAUUUUGUGAUGUUCCUUGAGAUGGCUAGUAUUUAAUAAAAAUAUAAAAUGUACCAUGUUUUCUGGGAAAAAUAAUUGUUAUGAUUUAAUCUUGUUAUUUAUGAGUAAAUUCAUAUCUUUUGUUAUACUGCUCCUUUUGCUUUGAAUUUUUUAUGGUAGUUUCUGAGUGUUAUUAGAAUGCUAUGAUAACUAUUUCAUGAUUUUUGGAGUACUGUAUCUGUGAUAUGUAUUUUAUGUUUGUGAUGUGGCAUGUUUUCUUAUUUAAAUCAUAAUAAAAGUUUGGUGCUUAUGCUGGUGCUCUACUCUGGUGUCAAACUUAAUUAUGGUAAUAGUAACAUGUAAAUAAUUUGAAAUCGGUUGUUUGACACUAUCUAAGCUAUGUUUUCUAAUUUACGAAAUAAGCAACUUGUCACAUGUUAAAUGCUUAUCUUGAAUCUGGCAUGUGCAAUUGCUCUGAAAAUUUUAUAGUGAUGUCAAGAUGCUAUGCUUGUGCUUGUGUAAUUUUUGUAGGUUUUUCUGAGCCCUUUUGCUAGUAUCUUGUAAUUAUGUCCCUUUAUUGAAUUAAAUUAUUAAGGGCCAUGAUAUUAAAUGUUUAGGGGAUUAACAUAUGAUGUUUUGGUUAUUUUAUGAUAUGCUUGUGCUUAUAAUCCAUAUGGUCGGCACUGAUUAUGUUUUGGUUAUGUCAUUAAAUAAUUAAUUAAAGGGGUUAAAAGCUGUUCUGGACAGCAAGGGAGUAAUCCAACCUUUGCUUAAUGAUAAUUUGGUUUUCUAGGAGACUUGUCUAAAUCAGAGUUGUUAUAGACUUUAUGAACUAGCUGUGGUUUAAUUUUGGGAUCAUUUGGACCAAUAGUUUCAAAGUUAUAGCUCUUCCAAGUUGGGUUCCAGAAAUAGGUGUUCUCUGUUUUUCUGGGACAGAACCUGGAACUUUGUUUAAAUGACUUGUUUAACUUAUGAAUCUUGCUAUGAUGUCUAAAGAUGAAAUGUAGACAAUUUCAUAAGCUCUCCAUAAUGUCCACAUUCAUAUUUGUUGGAUCUGUAUAGCUCCAGUUAUGAUUUAUUUCUUGAGCUGCUCUGUUAUGUAAGGAUUGCUGUUUAUGGUUUGACUUGCUAGGUCUUGCUAAGUUAAUUAGUUAUCCUUUGUGAGUUUAUCUUGGAAAUUUACUCAGUAAAUGAGUGUCCAGUGAAGUUCUAAUUAUAUUGUCAAGCAUUUAUCCCCAUCUAGUAUGCACCCAUUCUUACCUAUCAUGCAUGCAAUAGGUGCACCGGACGCGACAGCUUCAUUCGAGCUCCAGGUGAACCCCGAGGGUCAAGAGAUCAACCCGGAGGUGGAGGUCCAGCAAGCCAGACAUGAGGAGCCCGAGCAGGAGAUUGGUUGCCUGAAUCACGAGCCUGCAUCGUUCGUGAAAGGCAAGCCCCGGAGCAUCUUAAGUCUCCCCUUUAUUUUCGAAAGAUUACUUGAUUAUGUUAUAUCUAUUGACGCAUUACGUAUAGGAGUUGUGAUGAAACCCUUGCUGCAUUUUACUCAUUCCUUGUCCAGAUAUCUUACCACUACCUAGUUAUAGAGUUAGGAUCGAGUAGCGGCUUAGUCAUGCUUUAAUCGGUAGAAGUCGGGUGAUAUCCUGUCACCUGCACGAGAUAGGGUUGUGUUGGAUCCCGAUUGUCUAUAUGUGCUAUCGUAGAAUGAACCUGUUUAAAAUGACUUAAGCCGGGCGGAGUUUUGCAAGGUUGUAGUAACUCCGUCUGUGGCAGCUAAGGACCGAUCGUUGUACGUCCUCUUGUCAUGUUGAACGCAUGCCAAACACUUAGUUGGCUGGAUAACUCGUUCCGACCGUGAAGCCUAGUAGUAUGACUCAGGCCGGAAGACCGGCAAGUAUAAAGUGCGCACUACCGGAGGAAGUGCGGUGUGUGGGGGACUAUUGGCGUAAGACCACAGGCACGUGAGUUAAAAUUCCUGACCUCCCUGGCAGAGUGGUAGCCCUGGGAGUGCAGCGCUGAUUGGAGCCGCGAUUCCUGAGUCGUACCAAAGGUGACCCGCUUGCUCUCCAACGGGGGAUGUUUGGGUGAGUGCUAGGAAUAACCCUCCAGCUGGAUAGGUAUCGAUUCGAAUCGUCGUCUCUCCCGGAUAGUGAGAACUUGACAAAGCAACGGGAAACGUAGCAUCCACUAAUGAACAAUGGUUCGUGAUGAUGGGGAUAGCAAGGAAGAGCAUAUGAUGAACUUGAUAUGGUUAUUAUUGCUUGUAAUAAUUAAGUGAUGUGCUGUAGUCCAGGUGCUAAUCUAGUGGUAGGCUAAUGAUGAUUAAUAUGAUGCUUUUACAAUAAUGUAGCUAUCUAUUAAGCUUUUGGCAACUGUUGAGUCAAGCCCACUCCACUUUAGACUUAGCCUUGCAUGAUCCUUGGUGUCUUUUAUAUUUUACUGGACGUGUAAGUCUAGCUAAGUACAUCCUCGUACUCAGGGUUUACUCCCACCUGUUGCAGAUGAUAUCUUUUAUGAUGGCAUCUGCAAGACCUGUCUCCAUCCCGCUGGGGAUGAAGACUAAACCUUUGGGCACGGUUCUCUAACUACUUCGUAUUUGUUGCUUUUGAUGGAUGGCAUGAGAUUCUGGGUGAAACAAGAACUUGUGAAAUGAACUUUGGAAUGUGAGUUGUAAACUAUUUUGCUUCCGCUACUACAAACAUGUGUUGUAAUAACUAAGUAACUCCGAUGUGGUGCCGCUUCGACGGCAAUGAAUGACUAUGUAAUAUUCGCUAUGUUAUGUUGAACUAUUACGAUCUUGGUUUGUUGUAAGUUGGUUUGAAGUCCUUCGUGAUUUCAGUUGACUACCAGGAUUAUAUGGGCUCAAGUUUGGAAACUUGAUUACUAGUUGAUCGUUUCUACACUUGAACUCUUAUAAUUUGGUCGGUUCUAGGACAGCUGGCAUCAGAGCAAGUUCAGCAUUAUAAAUGCAGCGUUUGUGUAUUUAAAAACAAAAGAGUUUUUAAAUAAAAUUGUUGAAAAUCAACACUUAAUUAUGCGAGUGGUCGAAUCCUCCUUGCCCAUGUAAGGACUAUAGGUGGCUAUUUAAGUACUGACUUGGGGUGUUUUAUUAAUGCAUCUCCGACAGUACUCAGGUAUGGAUGUGUGAUGACCGCACUAUGCUACCCUGUGGUCUAAUGGUAGACGUAGCCUUCAUAUGUGAAUUAGCCACAUAUGUCGCUAGAUUUAAAUUAUGUCGCACCUACGCUCUGUUAAGUGUGAGUUGUGAGAGCAUAAUCAUGCAAACGAUGGUCUAGGGGAGUGUUCGCGGUGGUUUUCUGGAGUGGUUACAUGUCUAACCAUAGAACCAUGAAAGAAACUUAAUUGGGGAGCAUUUAAUUUCUCGGGUAGCUGUGGUGUCAUGGUUUGUGCGUGUUGGGCAUGUACUAGCGAUGUGCACUUAGUUUACUGCUUUCUUUAGUGAUAUUUUGGGAAUUGUUUGGCUGCAAUGAAGUUUUCUGCAGGUACUCUAACAGCGCACGUAUAAAUCGCUAGUUAUUGUAUCGAGAGACGAAUGUAUGCCACCAUAUAUCAGUUAGAAUAUUAAUUUUCUAAGUUUGUGAGGACGUACAGUUCGUGCAUGCAUCAUGUCGCAUUCAUACAUACAUUCUGUCUACCCCUUCCCUUACAAUGUCAUCCCUUUUAAUUAAAUAAAUGUUGCUUAAACUAAUCCUCUUUUAUCCACGGUUAUUCCUUUCCACAGAUGGACGUGCCCGCUUCACCUCGCCCCAGUGACACCUUUUUGAGCGAGUUUGGCACCCCUACUUUGCUCUGGAGGGUGUUGUAGUCUGUGCGAUAUACUGAGCCACCUCAGUACUCAUGGUGGGAGGUGGAUAUGAUAGGAGAGUUGCAGUGGUUUGCUGUGCAGGGAGUUGUCCCACCACAUGGGGGCAGGCCUGCAUGGACGGGGUGGACCUGUAACUCAGAUGGGCAGACUCCGUGGGAAGUAGCUCAGGUUGCCGCCCAUGCUAUGCUACUCAACAUCUGUCAGAGGUUUGGCGAUGAGCUGACAGGAGGGCCAGCGGCCUCCAUUCCCCGUGCUGAUCCAGCAGCAGCGGAGUGGAAGCAGGCUGAUGGUUGUGCGUUGGACCGAGGUAGAGGAGAGCGAGCUGAGAGUUCCAGUCCUGCUAUGAGUGCUGUGAUGGGUGUGCUCAAGCUGUUCAGUCAGCGAGAGGACACCUAUGCCCAGGUAAUGGUUGCUGUCUGCCAGGCUCAGGAGAUGCAACAGAAGGCUGAGAAGCGUGCUUGCAAGUUUCGCAAGCAAGCUAGGCUCCUGGAGCAAGCUCAGAAGGACCGCAACGACUGGGAAGACAUUGCGGAAUAUCGUAGGCAGCAGUGGGUGAAGGCCAUUAGAGAGAGAUCACAAGCAGGAUCAGAUGAGUCAGUUGGCUAGGGAGAGGGAGACAGUGCAGGAGCGCUUGGUGCAGAUCACUCGUGAGAGGGAUACUGUGCUCCGUGUGUCGGAGAACAGGCGCCGGGCAUGGGAGAUGCACCGGAUUCAGUCACUUGAGCGGGAGAACUAUCUGCAGGAUCAGAUUGAGGCUGGUCUUGUGGAGAUUCACCGUCUCAACAACUUGCUAUACCCUAUUCCUCACCCUGUACCCGUGUACCCGGAGGUGGGACCUCAGGUGAUCGUGGCUGAUGAUGAUGGUAUGGAGGUAGAUGGACCAGCCACGGCUGCACCACCUCUGCACGAGGAUGUGGAGUACGAGGAGCUUGAGCCGGUUAGCGAUGAGGAUGGAGAGGCGAUCUUCGACGCUGACUCGGACGACGAGCCUAGAGUGUAGUAGGUAGUUGAUAGCUGUUCUGUGAGGAUCUUUUGUAGUAUGGCAGUCCACAGUUGCGCUUUUGUAAUCAUGUUGUAAUCCGGAACCUUGAUCUUUGACUUAUGUCAUGUACUGGGAUGGUGUAAUAACUUUAUGGACCGAUUGUGUUAACAUUAUCAUGUUCGAUCGGUUAUGACGAUGGUUCCCGUGUUAUGCAUUUUACGAAUGUCUGUGUCAUGAGUUGGAUUGGUGAUGUUGUUUUGUGGAAUUGAAUUAUUGUGCCUUUUUCUAUAAAGUUAUUCUCUCGAAUACUUUCAGGCAUGAAAAUAAGUUCUUCUACGGCAAAUCUUGUCAUCAUCAAUGGUCACUAACUGUGUCUUUACAGAUGUCUCGUGGCACUAGAGGUGUGGAACAGCGUGCGAACAUGAACCCACCCCCUCCUCCUCCACCACUAAAUCCAGCUGAGCUGAUGCAAAUCAUGGUGGAAAAUCAGAGAAUGCUUACUGAAACCAUCAACCGGAUGGCAAACCAGGGUGGUCGGAAUGCACCGGAUGGGCCAGCACCCAACCAGUACAGUAGCUUCAAGGAUUUCAUGGAUACGAAGGCCCCACCUUUCGGAGAGGCUGAAGAACCCCUUCAACCUAAGUGGCUGAACACGGUGGAACAAAAGUUCCGCUUGCUUUGGCUGACCGAGGGUUUGAAGGUUGAGUAUGUAGCUCACCAACUGCAAGUACCAGCAGGCAUUUGGUGGAAUCAAUAUCGGGAGGCUCUUCCGGACAACACUGUGCUUGACUGGAAUCCCUUCCGUGAAGCUUUCAAGGAGCUUUUCAUCCCUCCUGGUGUCAUGGAGAUGAAGCAUACUGAGUUCAUGCAGUUAACUUAGGGAAACAAAACUCUGAAGGAGUAUUAGCAUGCUUUCAAUCAUCUGUCUAGGUAUGCUCCUGAGUUUGUGAACACUGAGGCAAAGAAGAUUGCUAGCUUCAAGCGGGGUCUUGGCCCCAAGUUGCUGAAAACUAUGGGCCGCACUAAGUGUACAACUUUCAAUGAGUUUGUCAGUGAUGGUCUCACCCAAGAGAACUAUAGCACUGUGUACACUGCAACCAAGACUCGUAAGAGGGCUUUUGAGGCCAGGGCAGGGGCAUCUCAGUCCAAGGCUCCAGUGGUAGCUAGGCCCCAGUAUCGUGCUCCAACUCCUAACCAGCGAUAUCGCCCUCCAGCGAAGAAAAAUCAGGUGAAGACGGGGUUCCGCAAGGGUUACUCUAUUGCUCUUCCUAGGGGCAACACGGGUCCUAGCUAUGCCAAGACUCCACCUGCCAACCGUCCGUGCUGGAACUGCAAUCAGACCGGGCACUGGCAAAGCAACUGUCCUUACCCGCCAAAGAAGGGAAACCAAGGGAACGUCCGCCAGGGGCGUGUUCACUAUACAACUGUGGAAGCAAUCCCUGCUGGUGAGGUAGUUACGGCUGGUAAGUUUCUGGUCAAUUAAUGUGAUGCACUUGUACUUUUUGAUUCUGGAGCAUCGCAUUCUUUUGUGAGUUCAGACUUUGUGUCUAAGCAUAAUCUCAAGGCAAUUACAUUUGAUAAGGGUAGUUAUUGCAUUAGUGCUGCCGGAAAUGAUAUUUCUACCAAUCAAGUGGUUUUGGGGGCAACUCUGGAAAUAGGAGACCGUCAGUUUCUUGUUGAUUUGGUUGUUCUACCUGGUGUGGGUAUAGAUGUAAUUCUGGGUAUGAAGUGGAUGAGUGGCAACGGAGUUCUUAUCGACACCACCACUCGUGUAGUGAUGUUGAGAGACCCAAAUACCAAAGAGGCGUUCUUAGUGCAACUUCCUCGAGAUAUUCAUAUCCGUAGCACGAUGAAUGCAGUUACAUCUAGGGCCAUCAAGGAUAUUCCGGUGGUGUGUAAGUUCCGAGAUGUAUUCCCAGAUGAUUUGCCCGGGCUUCCUCCAGAUCGGGAUGUGGAGUUCAAAAUUGAAUUGAUCCCAGGUACCGCUCCUAUCUCUAGAAGACCACAUAGACUACCACCAAACGAGCUAGCUGAGCUUAAGACCCAGUUGAAUGAGUUGUUAAAGAAGGGUCUUAUCCUUCCUAGUUCUUCUCCUUGGGGUUGUCCGGCUAUCUUUGUGAAGAAGAAGGAUCAGUCCUUGCGCAUGUGUGUGGACUAUCGUCCUCUGAAUGCGGUGACCAUCAAGAAUAAAUACCCUCUUCCUCACAUUGAUAUCCUAUUUGACCAGUUGUCUAAAGCCAAGGUAUUCUCCAAGAUUGAUUUGCGAUCUGGGUAUCAUCAGAUCAAGAUCCGUCCUGAAGAUGUACCUAAGACAGCUUUCUCGAUGAGGUAUGGGUUGUAUGAGUAUCUCGUCAUGUCUUUUGGUCUAACGAAUGCACCUGCUCACUUCAUGUAUCUCAUGAAUCCGGUAUUCAUGCCCGAAUUAGUCAAGUUUGUGGUGGUCUUCAUUGAUGAUAUCGUGGUUUAUUCUCACAAUGAAGAAGAGCAUACAGAGCAUCUGCGUGUAGUGUUGUCGCACUUGCGUGAGCAUCAGCUUUAUGCUAAGUUCAGCAAACGCGAGUUUUGGCUGAAGAAAGUACCUUUCUUGGGCAAUGUAUUAUCUAAAGAAGGUAUCUCGGUGGAUCCACCUAAAGUGCAAGAAGUGCUGGAUUGGAAGGUUCCAACUUCGGUGCACGAGGUCCGGAGUUUUCUCGGUCUGGCUGGGUAUUAUCGUCGAUUCAUUCCGGAAUUCUCAAAAAUAUCCAAGCCUAUGACUCGCCUACUUCAGAAAGAUGAAAAGUUUAUGUGGACGCCUGAGUGUGAAGAGGCAUUGCACAAGCUGAGGACAUUGCUAACAUCAGCUCCUGUCCUAGCUCAGCCUGAUAUUGAGAAGCCCUUCGAUGUCUUUUGUGACGCGUCGAGUAUUGGUUUGGGUUGUGUGUUGAUGCAAGAAGGUCGUGUUAUCGCGUAUGCCUCGCACCAACUUCGAAAGCAUGAGGUCAAUUACCCUACUCAUGACUUAGAAUUGGCUGCAGUUGUUCAUGCCUUGAAAAUUUGGAGGCACUAUUUGCUGGGUAAUCUAUGCAAUAUUUACACUGAUCAUAAGAGUCUCAAGUACAUCUUCACUCAACCUGAAUUGAACAUGCAGCAGCGAAGGUGGCUUGAGUUGAUUAAAGAUUAUAAUCUCCAAGUGCACUACCACCCGGGCAAGGCAAAUGUAGUUGGAGAUGCCUUAAGUCAGAAGGCGCACUGUCAUUCAGUUCAGAUGGAAGAUCCAUUGUUGUCACAUCUUAUGCACCCACUUGUGCUCAACUAGAUUUCUCUGGAGAGUUCUCUUCGCAAUCGAGUCAUCGAAUUGCAGCAAACCGAUGUAGGCAUCUACCAUAUAAAGAGGAAAAUGAAAGAAGAAGAAACCAAUCAUUUCCGGGUCAAUGAGAACGGAAUCCUAUGGUUCAAAGAUCGACUCGUGGUCCCAAAAGACCGUGAGAUGUGAAAUCAAAUCUUAUCUGAAGCUCAUUCAUCCAAGUUGUCUAUCCAUCCUGGUAGUAGCAAGAUGUAUCAGGAUCUGAAACCUCUGUUUUGGUGGACAAAGAUGAAAAAGGAGAUUGCUGCUUUUGUCACUCGUUGUGACAACUAUUGUCGUGUGAAGGUCGUUCACAUGAAAGCAGGCUUACUUCAACACUUGUCAAUUCCUGGUUGGAAAUGGGAAGAAGUCAGCAUGGAUUUCAUCGUUGGACUCCCAACUUCUGUUAUGGGUUACGAUUCUAUCUGGGUGAUUGUAGACCGUUUGACCAAGGUUGCUCGUUUUAUUCCAGUUCGAACUGACUAUCGUCCACAUCAGUAUGCAGAAUUGUACUUCGAGCACAUUGUUCAUCAGUAUGGUGUGCCUCGAACUAUCAUAUCAGAUCGUGGACCACAGUUCACUGCUCAUUUUUGGGAGUGUCUUCAUGAGCAGAUUGGUAUUCACUUGGUUCGUAGUUCCGCUUAUCACCCCCAAACGGCCGGCCAAACUGAAUGUGUUAACCGAAUCCUAGAAGACAUGUUGACGGCAUGUGCUCUCUCUUCAAAGGGUUUUUGGGUAAAGUGGUUGCCGUUAGCUGAGUUCUCUUACAACAACAGUUACCAAGAGAGCAUCAAGAUGGCUCCAUUUGAAGCCCUGUACGGUCGAAAAUGUCAAACCCCGUUGAAUUGGAAGGAAUCCGGGGAACGAAGGUAUUAUGGCAUCGAUUUCGUGAACGAAGCGGAGCAGCAAGUCUGUACCAUCCAACAACAUCUGGAAGCUGCCCAAGCUCGUCAGAAAAGUUAUCCUGAUAAGAGAAGGAAGCCGAUUGAGUUUGCAGUCGGUGACCAUGUGUAUAUCAAGGUGUCUCCGAUGAAAGGCGUACAAAGGUUCGGAGUCAAGCGAAAACUUGCACCUUGUUAUGUGGGGCCUUAUCGGAUUCUCGAGAGAAAAGGGAACGUGGCAUACAAAGUUCAACUCCCAGUUGACCUUCGUGCUAUUUUUCCUGUCUUUCAUGUAUCACAAUUGAAGAAGUGCCUUCGUGUUCUAGAAGAACGAGUGGAAGUUCGGGAUAUUAAGUUGAAAUCUAACUUGGUGUACGAGGAGAAACCUGUAGCGGUUCUCGACCACAAGGAACGGGUGACUCGUAAUCGUGUGGUUAAGUUCUACAAGGUGUUGUGGAGUAACCACAGGGAGGAAGAUGCCACUUGGGAGACGGAGGACUAUUUAAAAGAAGUUUAUAAAACAUUCUUCGAAAAUCAGUAAGCUUCCAAAUCUCGGGACGAGAUUUUUCUAAGGGGGGAGGGCUGUAACACCCUAGUGUUAUGGUUGCAUCAAUCACAUGCAUAACAUGAGCAUCAUCAUCUACUCAAGCAUAUCAUGAUCAUCAUCUACCUUGAGCCAUGUCAUUUUAUCCUUAAGUGUGCUUUAACUUGUUUAAUCAUGCUUCCUAUGCUUGUGUUUGUGUGAACCAUGCUCAUGCUUGUAUGUUAAGCCUUGGUAAUUAGUUUAUCUGUGCUUAACUCAACCUUAGGAACAAUGUUCAUGUUGAUCACUUCUCCAAAAUAAUCACUUAAGUCAUACUUCCUUGAAUAAGCCCUAGAAACCUCUUUUGCUUAGGAUUUUAAAAAGUGUUUCAUAAAAUGUUUGCAUGUCAAAACUAUCUACAGAAAAGUUGUAGAAAAUGUUAUAAGGAACAAAAGUUGUUUUAUGGCCAUCGCAUGAAAAUGAACACAUCUUGCUCAAAAAGUGCUUUCAAGGCAGUUUUGGGGUCUGCUUUGGCACUUAACCAGUUUGCGCGAUCGAUUUUGAAAACCUCAUAUCUUUCAAUCCAGGCCGAUCUGGGUUUUGCUCUAGUUGACAAUGUUGUAGAACUCAGCUAGUACUCCAACUUUGUCAACUACGCCAUCUCUUAAUUUGUUUUGGUUUGUGAGUUAAUCGCUGUUGAAUUCGCUCUAUCAGACAACCAUCGCCAUGACUGAAUCGAAGCCGAGCUCGUCGACGUGGCCGACCGGCGACAGAACAACGACGACAUUUGGCGCCCGUACGUCAUUCUUGGCCCCGCUCGUCAGCUCCCAGCGCGCGCAUGACCUCCACGGCGAUGCCCCGGACGCAGUGGACGCGUCCAUUCUCUCCUCCCUCACGCUCUCUCGCUAGAAAAGCGACCGCAGCGAGCGCAACGUCGCGUGCUCACUCCGGCGACCUCAAACACACUCCUCGCUGCGUUGCUGCUCACAAAAACUCACCCACAGCUCCGCCGUAUCCCGCUCUCCAUCCUCCACCCACAAACUCGCCGUGAAACCCUCCGGUGAGCCGACAUUUCCGACUUCCCCCAAAUCAGGUCGCCGUGACCUUCUUCUCUGGCGAACUCAAUGCUGACCUCCUCGGAGCCUCUCGUCUUCUCUGGUUAGGUCCUAGAGGUAGCUUAGGUCAUUAGCGAACGUUUGCGCCACUUGGUGGACGCUCUACCGCACUCAACGUCGCCGGACACGACGCGCAGCGCCGCCGUGUUUCCGCCGGAGUUCGGCUCUCUUGUGGCCAGCUCAUUCCACACCGUUUCAAGCCUAGUCACCUACCUAGGAAGCUUCGCCAUAGUUCACUGGUGCUGUAGGAAACCCUAGGUCGCGCUCUACCGGCCUGAGAGCUCAGGCGUAAUGCCGAGCGCGUCCGCCGAGCCGCCAUGGUCGACGGCAAGCCAUUUCCGGUGGCUCCGCCAUGGGGAAAAGGGGGUCACUCGGUUCGCAAGGGUCUAGGGAUCACGUUGGUACCCUUGGUUUGGUCGGAGACCUCACCGUUGCAGAGAAAUCACCGGUGAAAGUCGUCUCGGUCGUAAGGAAGACGACCCUGAUACGCGGGACCCGCUGUCAGCGACACACCGUUUCCCUCCUUUUCUUUUAUUCAAAUCCAGAUUUUUGGUAUUCUUAUAAAAAUCAUAUCUUCUGUUGCUUUGAUCCAAAAAUUGUGAAAUAAAUUUUGUUGUGUUCCUUGAGAUGGCUAGUUUUUAAUAAAAAUAUAAAAUGUACCAUGUUUUCAGGGAAAAGUAAUUGUUAUGAUUUAAUCUUGUUAUUUAUGAGUAAAUUCAUAUCUUUUGUUAUACUGCUCCUUUUGCUAUGAAAUUUUUGGUGUAGUUUCUGAGUGUUAUUAGAAUGUUAUGAUAAAUAUUUCAUGAUUUUUGGAGUACUGUAUCUGUGAUAUGUAUUUUAUGUUUGUGAUAUGGCAUGUUUUCUUAUUUAAAUCAUAAUAAAAGUUUGGUGCUUAUGCUGGUGCUCUACUCUUGUGUCAAACUUAAUUAUUGUAAUAGUAACAUGUAAAUAAUUUGAAAUCUGUUGUUUGACACUAUCUGAGCUAUGUUUCCUGUUUGCUUAUGCUGGUGCUCUUCCAAGUUGGGUUCCAGAAAUAGUGUUCUCUGUUUUUCUGGGACAGAACCUGGAACUUUGUUUAAAUCACUUGUUUAACUUAUGAAUCUUGCUAUGAUGUCUAAAGAUGAAAUGUUGAAAAUUUCAUAAGCUUUCCAGAAUGUCCUCAUUCAUAUUUGUUGCAUCUGUAUAGCUCCAGUUAUGAUUUAUUUCUUGAGCUGCUCUGUUAUGUAAGGAUUGCUGUUUAUGGUUUGACUUGCUAGGUCUUGCUAAGUUAAUUAGUUGUCCUUUGUGAGUUUAUCUUGGAAGUUUACUCAGUAAAUGAGUGUCCAGCGAAGUUCUAAUUAUAUUGUCAAGCAUUCAUCCCCAUCUAGUAUGCACCCAUCCUUACUUAUCAUGCAUGCAAUAGGUGCACCGGAUGCAACAGCUUCAUUCGAGCUCCAGGUGAACCCCGAGGGUCAAGAGAUCAACCCGGCGAUGGAGGUCCAGCAAGCCGAACACGUGGAGCCCGAAGAGAAGAUUGAGUGCCCGAAUCAUGAGCCUGCAUCAUUCGUGAAAGGCAAGCCUCGGAGCAUCUUAAGUCUCCCCUUUUUUCCGAAAGAUUACUUGAUUAUGUUACAUCUAUUGAUGCAUUACUUAUAGGAGUUGUGAUGAAACCCUUGCUGCAUUUUACUCAUUCCUUGUCCAGAUAUCUUACCACUACCUGGUUAUAGAGUUAGGAUCAAGUAGCGGCUUAGUCAUGCUUUAAUCGGUAGAAGUCAGGUGAUAUCCUGUCACCUGCGCGAGAUAGGGUUGUGUUGGAUCCCGAUUGUCUAUAUGUGCUAUCGUGGAAUGAACCUGUUUAAAAUGACUUAAGCCGGGCGGAGUUUUGCAAGGUUGUAGUAACUCCGUCUGUGGCAGCUAAGGACCGAUCGUUGUACGUCCUCUUGUCAUGUUGAACGCAUGAAUAACACUUAGUUGGUUGGAUAACUCGUUCCGACCGUGAAGCCUAGUAGUAUGACUCAGGCCGGAAGACCGGCAACUAUAAAGUGCGCACUACCGGAGGAAGUGCGGUGUGUGGGGGACCAUUGGCGUAAGACCAAAGGCAGGUGAGUUAAAAUUCCUGACCUCCCUAGCAAAGUGGUAGCCCUAGGAGUGCGGCGCUGAUCGGAGCCGCGAUUCCUGAGUCGUACCAAAGGUGACCCGCUUGCUCUCCGACGGGGGCUGUUUGGGUGAGUGCUAGGAAUAACCCUCCAGCUGGAUAGGAAACGAUUCGAAUCGCCGUCUCUCCCGGAUAGUGAGAACUUGACAGAGCAACGGCAAACGUAGCGUCCACUAAUGAACAAUGGUUCGUGAUGAUGGUGAUAGCAAGGAAGAGCAUAUGAUGAACUUGAUAUGGUUAUUAUUGCUUGUAAUAAUUAAGUGAUGUGUUGUAGUCCAGGUGCUAAUCUAGUGGUAGGCUAAUGAUGAUUAAUAUGAUGCUUUUACUAUAAUGUAGCUAUCUAUUAAGCAUUUAGCAACUGUUGAGUCAAGCCCGCUCCACUUUAUACUUGGCCUUGCAUGAUCCUUGGUGUCUUUUAUGUUUUACUAGAUGGGUAAGUCUAGCUGAGUACAUCCCCGUACUCAGGGUUUAUUCCCACCUGUUGCAGAUGAUAUCUUUUAUGAUGGCUUCUGCAAGACCUGUCUCCUUCCUGCUGGGGAUGAAGACUAAACCGUUGGGCACGGUUCUCUAACUACUUCGUAUCUGUUGCUUUUGAUGGAUGGCAUGAGACUCUGGCUAAAACAAGAACUUGUGAAAUGAACUUUGGAAUGUGAGUUGUAAACUAUUUUGCUUCCGCUACUACAAACAUGUGUUGUAAUAACUAAGUAACUCUGAUGUGGUGCCGCUUCGACAGCAAUAAAUGACAAUGUAACAUUCGUUGUGUUAUGUUGAACUAUUACGAUCUUGGUUUGUUGCAAGUUGGUUUGAAGUCCUUCAUGAUUUCAGUUGACUACCGGGAUUAUAUGGGCUCAAGUUUGGAAACUUGAUUACUAGUUGAUCAUUUCUACACUUGAACUCUUAUAAUUUGGUCGGUUCUGUGACAAGCACCACGCUUAAUUCAAAAAGGCAUUGAAAGUAAAAUCAACACAGCUCUGAGUUUAAAAAAUCAAACUAAACACCUUGUCUAAUUAUGACUCAAGAAAACAGUUUAAACUAAGCACCAUGCCUAAUUCAAAUGGUGUAUGAAAUUUCUCUAAACCUUAAGCAUACUAUAGCAAACAAAGGUAACAUGAAAGUUUAUAGGUUCAAAUAGAGAUGAAAGACCAUAAUCAACAAAUUGAAUAAAGGUAGAGAUAACCAAUAUUAGCAGCAUAGGAUUUUCUAAAUAAGGCCAUUCCCCCAAGCUAGAAUUUUGCAAAGUAAAUGUUAGCUCGAGUGGAUGUUAUUCAAAAUUGCAUAAUGAUAGGUUAGUGAUACUUGGUGCUGCCGUUAUUAAUUCUCUCACUUCAAACCUGAAAUGGUUAGUGACAAGAAUAUUCACAGGAAUAUUUUGACAAUUCUAUUUCUAUGCUAAAGGUGCAGGCUUAAUUCAUUUUUUAAGAGUGGUUAUUUUAGAACACAAAGUUGUUGUUGGGAAACCUUCUGAUUAUUAUAAUUUGAGUUGGUGAGGUGGUUUCCUCUAGAACAUUAGCCUUUGUGCACCUAUAUCCAGAUUACAACAAGAUCUAUAAUAUUUAUGAUAAACAUAUGCAUCUACAACCACCCUCUUAAUGAUUUUAUGAAUAGGUAGAAUAAAGGGGUUGAGGAUCUCAUGUGUGAUAAUAUUAGAGACUAUUUGAUCCAAGAGAUUUCUCAUAUGAGCAUGGGUCUGAUAGGGUGUUUAAUGAAAUAAUUCACAUACUCGAAAAUAUGAUCUCCCUUUUCAAACUCCAAGGGUGUCUCUUCAUGGUUGUCUAUAUGCAAUAAGUUUGCAUCUAUUAUUUCAUGCCUAUGACAUUUAUUAGAUAUUUUAUUUUCCAGUAUUUCCCAUGAAUUGAUGUCUCCAAGGUUGGUCUCUUCUAAAGCAUUUUCUAAACAUGGUUGAGUUAUGUUUAUUAAAGAAAUUGAUGUAAGCUCAACAUUUGAAUUUAGACCAAGUUUAGAUUCUAGUGCCAAAACUUCAUCUUCUUCCAUCCAUUCUUUGACAAUAGCAUAUGUAUUUCUAAUAUGUUCUACAUGUUCCUACUAUUGUCGUUGCUCUUCAAGGGCAUUCAUGUAAUCUUCAUGACUCCUAUUCUUAGGAUGUCUUGAUGGAUUUCUAGGGUCAUUAUGAAGUUUAGUAGAAGGAGCAUACAAAGAUUUAUUGGGGGUCAAGGAUGGGUUUAGAGAUGGGUUCAAAGACAAUUAAUAUGGGCAUAGAAGGGGAGAAGAUAAAAUUUAUUUCUAAGUGGCUUGGCUCUCCUUCUAUGGCAUCACUUGGCAUGCCAUCCCUGUAUUUUUUCCAAUGUCUUUUUUAGGAAGAAAAGGAAGAUGAUGAUGGUUUUUCCAAGAUACUCUUCUAAGAAGAUCUGAUAUGCAUUGAUUUAGGAGCAUCUUAGCUAACUGGAAGUCUAAAUCAUCGAAGUGGAAUUUUAAAGGUUUAGGAUUGAUAGCUAAAUCUUAGGAAUGAGAUGAUUGUAUUUUAGUUAUGAAGACUUCUGUUUUUAAUUUAGAUAAUAAAUUUGUUUCUCCUUUUAGGGAGUUCAAAAAUAGCCAGAGCAACUCUUUUGAGCAUAAAAUCUUACUUUUAAAAGAUAAGAAAGGACACUCAAGAAGAUAAAUCUAGGGAUUCCAUGUAACUCUUGGUAAGACCCAAAUGUUGAAUAAACAUGGGGCCCAGCAAACCAAAGUCAGGAUUAAUGAUCCCAUGAUAUAUUUGAGAAGGGUUUAUUAUAUUGUGGAGACAUGGGCAUAGCCUAUAGAUAUCAUGAUAAGGUUUGUGCUUUAAGCUUUUGCACAUGCCAUAAAGAUAGGUAUGGAAUUUAAAUAAAUAUCCAUAAGGAUAAACACAAAAAUAAUGAAGAGACUAUGAUAAAAUAGGAAUAGAUAAAAGUACAAUACAAGUUUAAGCUAAACUAAAGCAAAAUCAGCAAACUAUUCCCCGGCAACAGCACUAAAAAUGCUUGUUGGUAUAAAUUAACUGCACUCCAUUAAAUAAGUUUUAAGUAGGAUUAUCCGCAAGCGCACAGAUAUCAUACCAGUGUCACAUUUUACCCAGAGGUUUUAAAUAUUGUAUCCACAGAGAAUAGUUGUGAUAAUGACAAAGUAUAUAGACUUAACCCUACAAUUAGAUUAGACCAUAUCAAGAAAAAUGAAAUAGCUAAUGCACUCUGGUUCCGAUUCUGGUAAACUUUGUCUAAGACCAUCUUAUGAGGCAAGUAACCCGAAUAGGAGAAGAAACAGAGUAAUCUUCUACCAGGCACCUAUAAGCCUAUGAGUCCUAUCAACGGGAUGUGGACUACCAAGGAAUCAACGCAGCUAUAAAGUCACCUACGCAAGCUACCACAGUCCGGCCAAUCACGGGACAUCCACAAGCAAAGCUAACAUAGGCACCACGCCUACACUACGAAAUACUACUUCAACCAAGUCAUGACCAAGAUCAAAGCACUCAAUAAUGAACGAUUAAGAAUAAGUUCCUUACUUAAAUCGGAAUGGUAAGUACAAAAGAACCACAGAACGCAGCUCUAGGCGAGGGAACUAGAUCCAGACGAAUAUAGCAACGACGAAGCACCAAUAGGCCGAAACUUCUCCAGAAUCUCUACUCCUAUACUCAAUCUCUCUAAUCUCUAAACAAGACUAGAUCUAUAAGAACUAGUCUCUCCUAAUUGCUACAUCUAGAUGAACUAGAUCUAGAUGAACUAGAUCUAGAUCAACUAGAGGGACCCUAACCCUAAUUAUGUAGAGAUUACGAAGCUCCGAGGUGUAGAAUGCCUCUUGGGGGAGCCUUGGGCAUCAUUAUAUAGGCCGAGGUGUAGUAGGGGGCAGGGAACUGUCAUGUCAGCGAUCCGCGUCAUCAUUUUGUGUGCACCGCCGGAUCAAACUGACUUAAAAUCGACGGAGGCAUACUUUGCUUGGCUUCCAAGGAGGCAUGGGAGGAAGACUCCAGAAGGCGGCGGGCAUCGGGCAAAAUAGGGCGCUGACCAGCCCUAGGGUGGGGUCGGCCGGCCCCACCUUGUUUCCUCUGCUGGUCUCAUUCCUUCGGGUGUCUUCAAGACCCUUCCUGGGUCUUCUCGUGUUGUUUUCCGUCGUGGAUGAGUUUCAUGGUAAAUAUGCACUAGAAUCCCUCUUUUCAGCUCUUUGUGAAAUAAACCUUAGAAAAAGGAGAAUAUGCAAAACUCGUGGAAAUUGUCAGUUUAAACCCAAGACUAGUGUGUUUUCAUGUUCUCCUUUGGGUUUAAAUUUCUAAUAAAAGUUGACAUUAUUGACUAUCAACAAUUCCCCCAAGCUUACCUUUUGCCAGUCCCUUGGCAAACCAAGCCUAAGCAGUAUAUGUAUUUGGAUCAAGAGUUGCUAUAAUGUUUUCAUUCUUUCCAAGUACACAUGCUCCUAAACAAAGAUUCUCCUCCGGAUUAGUCAAUAACUGCUCUAAUCUUCAAACUUACCCAUUUUACCCUUAACCAUGGGGCUUUACAGCUUUUGCAUGAGUCUUGAGCAAUCAGAAGACAGAACAAUCAGGUCAAGCACUAUGUCUCAAAUUCUUUGCAGAACCAUUAUUCCAGAGUUUUUUUUAUAAAUUUUCAGAAUAAAACUCAGAGCUUAAUUGUAUGACACCCUCAAGUCUCUCAAUGUAUGUGGUAUUUAUUGUUCUCUCUUGAGGCAUUAAUGAUGCUAUGCCUCCAAUAGCUAAAGGUAUAUAUAUGGUAGAGCUUAUAGGAGUGCUAAUAACAAGGAUAGGCAUACUUGCAAUACAUGUAUUGUAAAGUCAACUAAUGGAUCCAUAGAGAAUCGAGGCAUAUAAUCAAACCAAGGUGUGCAUGCAUAUGGAAUAUGGUGGAUGGGGGUAUCUGUGGUAUUUGUGGCCAAUUUUUAUUUCUACUUUUGCUCCUUGAGAUAAAUCUCUCCUUUGAUCUUGGAACUUUUCGCAGGAAAACAUGGGCUAUCUUUAUUUAUUUUUUUAUUUUUUUUAUUUUUUUAUUCAGGGAGGCGGCAUCUAGUACCCAUUGUUUUAAUUACUGAGACACUUGUCCAUCUUUUACUCCUUUUUCUUCGCUUCUUAUCUUUUUUUCAAUAACUUUCCUUUUGCAUAGCCACAUGCAUCCUUUGAAUACAAUAUGGUAAUUGGAGAGACAACAAUAAGUAUUUAGAGCAAUUAAACAAAGGUUGUCCUAUGGGUUUGGUUUAUGUUGGUGUUUACUCCCAGUGUAGGAGAAUAAUGCAUAUGUGAACUGGAGUGUGUACGUGAUCUUGGUCUUAAAAGCAUGACAAGACUCUCAUAAGGUAUACUACAAAGGUUGACUGAACUCAAUGCAAAGCAAGCAACAUAAAUGUGCAAAAAGUUUUCCUAACUCUAGAUGUAUAUUAUAUAUGGCUUUGGUAGGAAUUCAAACUAGUCAUACAAGAGCUCAUCAUGUUGGAUUUCAGGUUUUCAAAAUAAAUCUCCAGAACUUAGUAAUGCUAGGAAUAAGAUAAAUAGCAGCUCAGACUUUCAAUAAUCAUAUCAACCAACUACCUAGACUUAGCUCAAACUUAUGCCUCCACAAGUUGCAGGUUCAGAGUAAACCUUCAAAUUAAAAUAGUAAUGUCCAAAACUUGAGAGAAUCUAAUGUUGAAAUCUAGGUACUUGUAAAGAAAUAUAACAGAGCAACUAUUCAUCAUCUCCAAGACAAAAAUUUUAAUGUUCAUAAAAUUUUUAUUUAGCUCUAGUUUAACCUGACUGUGAACAGACUCUAACACUUAACUAAUUAUAAACUCACAAAAAGACUAUGACUUGUGGACCUUCAUGUGCCCACAUAUUUUUGGCAUUUUUAUGUUUUUUCUAUGAUACUAUGGUGAACCUUCAUGUGCUCAAAUAUUUUUGGUAUUUUUUAUAACUAUGUAGACUCGAAAAUCACUUAAGUAUAAUUACCUCAUAACUAGAAGUUUAAAUCAUCGAAGUGGAAUUUUAAAGGUUUAGGAUUGAUAGCUAAAUCUUAGGAAUGAGAUGAUUGUAUUUUAGUUAUCAAGACUUCUAUUUUUUAAUUUAGAUAAUAAAUCUGUUUCUUCUUUUGGGGAGUUCAGAAAUAGCCAGAGCAACUCUUUUGAGCACAAACUCUUGCUUUUAAAAGAUAAGAAAGGACUCUCGAGAAGAUCUGGGGAUUCCAUGUAACUCUUGGUAAGACCCAAUUGUUGAAUAAACAUGGGGCCCAGCAAACCAAAGUCAGGAUUAAUGAUCCCAUGAUAUAUUUGAGAAGGGUUUAUUAUAUUGUGGAGACAUGGGCAUAGCCUAUAGAUAUCAUGAUAAGGUUUGUGCUUUAAGCUUUUGCACAUGCCAUAAAGAUAGGUGUGGAAUUUAAAUAAAUAUCCAUAAGGAUAAACACAAAAAUAAUGAAGAGACUAUGAUAAAAUAGGAAAAGAUAAAAGUAUAAUACAAGUUUAAGCUAAACUAAAUCAAAAUCAGCAAACUGUUCCCCAGCAACGGCACCAAAAAUGCUUGUUGGUAUAAAUUAACUACACUCCAUUAAAUAAUUUUUAAGUAGGAUUAUCCGCAAGCGCACAGAUAUCAUACCAAUGUCACAUUUUACCUGGAGAUUUUAAAUAUCAUAUCCACAAGGAACAGUUGUGAUAAUGACAUAGACUUAACUCUACAAUUAGAUUAGACCAUAUCAAGAAAAAGGAAAUAGCUAAUGCACUCUAGUUCUGACUCCGGUAAACUUUGUCUAAUAUCAUCUUAUCAGGCAAGUAACCCAAAUAGGAGAAGAAAUAGAGUAAUCUUCUACCAGGCACCUAUAAGCCUAUCAGUCCUAUCAACGGGAUGUGGACUACAAAGGAAUCAACGCAGCUAUAAAGUCACCUACGCGAGCUACCACAGUCCGCCCGAUUAGGGGACAUCCACAAGUAAAGCUAGCCUAGCCUCCACGCCUACACUACGAAAUACUACUUCAACCAAGUAAUGACCAAGAUCAAAGCAUAUGGGUUGUGAACCAAAGAACGAUUAAGAAUAAGUUGCUUACUUAAAUCGGAAUGGUAAGUACAAAAGAACCUCAGAACGCAGCUCUGGGCGAGGGAACUAGAUCCAGACGAAUAUAGCCACGACGAAGCACCAAUAGGCCAAAACUUCUCCAGAAUCUCUACUCCUAUACUCAAUCUCUCUAAUCUCUAAACAAGACUAGAUCUAUAAGAACAAGUCUCUCCUAAUUGCUACUUCUAGAUGAACUAGAUCUACAUGAACUAGAACUAGAUCAACAAGAGGGUCCCUAACCCUAGUUAUGUGGAGAUUACGAAGCUCUAGGGUGUAGAAUGCCUCUUGGGGGAGCCUUGGGCGUCAUUAUAUAGGCCGAGGUGCAGUAGGGAGCAAGGAACCGCCAUGUCAGCGAUCCGCGUCUACAUUUGUGUGCACCGUCGAAUCAAAUUGACUUAAAAUCGACGGAGGGAUACUUUGCUUGGCUUCCAAGGAGGCAUGGGAGGAAGACUCCUGGAGGCGACGGGCAUCGGUCAAAAUAGGGCGCCGACCGGCCCUAGGGUGGGGCCGGCCAGCCCCACCUUUUUUCCUCUGCGGGUCUCAUUCCUUCGGGUGUCUUCUAGACCCUUCCUAAGUCUUCUCAUGAUGUUUUCCAUCGCAGAUGAGUUUCAUGGUUGUUGACAUCAUUUUUGGACAAGAAUUGGGGUAAUCAGUAAGGCUUGGAUCGGCAGUCAGAAAGGUGAUGUGUCUGGCCGAUAAGGAGAUUGCCGAUAGCCUAUGAUACCGAUGACAAUGCAACAGGAGGAAGAUAUGGCUAAGUCUGGAGAUGGUUGCUGAUUGGUCCCAAUGUCUGAUGUUGAUGAUUGCCGAUGCCGAUGAAGGAGAAUAUGCCGAUGAUGGAGAAGGAAGACAUGGGGGUCGCUGGGAGGACAAUGGUGGUAUGUCGAUCACCUAGAAUAGAUAGGUUGUUACUUUCCAUAAUUGUUAGUUUAUUUUAUGUACGAGUUCUUUUUUGUUUGGAAUUAAAAUCCUAGUUGUAUACGGUUGUAACUCUUUAGUACAAAGUAUAAAUAUAGGCCUAGUAGCGAUGUAAGAAGACAAUGAAUCAAUAUCAUACACAAGUUUUUACAAUCUACUUUUGCAUCUACUUUUUUGAUGACUUCGUCAACUCACACGUUUGCUUCCAUUUACGAGUUCUUAAGAAUUCAACGAGUCAUACUCGGUGAAUUCUCGAGUUCCGUGUGAGUACCUCUUGGCCGUGGCAUCUGGGCGCAUUGCUGUUGCUGGGACCAAAGUAUUCGAGUUAUCACCUUUGUCGAUUGUUUAGGUCAAAUCGACUGCACGCCUCAACGUUUGAAUCGGGUAUUACCCCUUUGUGUUUGCAGAUUAACUUUUGCAUCAACACGUCUUUUGGCACGCCUAGUGGGACACAUCUAUCAACAAAAUUAACAUGGCUACGGCUGAUCUCGAUACGGAGAACGUCAUUGCUAUCAUAGAAGCUGAUCUCACGGACGAGCAGAAGCAGGCUAUGGCAACAAGAGCGGUGAAGUAAUCUAGAAGCAAGAGCUGCCGAUGCCUCGAUAGAUUACGUUUGAAGCCAAUCCUCGUAAAUUGCAAGACAUGGUUGACAAUGCUAUUAAUCGUGCUUUGAUCAAUCAAUCCAGUGUGUUGUCCAAUACUGUUUAUAAUGUUGUGGCUAGAACUUUUAAAGAAGGACAGACACCACCAUUAUAUAUCGGCCCUACCUAUCAUCAGCCAGGUUGUCAUCGGUUACGGCUCCAUCGGCUCCUCUGGCCGUUGCGGGUAUAGAAGUUACUUCUCCUCCAAGCACAUUAGGGUUGAUUGAUGGGCAAUCUACACCGAUGAGACCUAAUCCAACGACAUCAGAGGGAUGGGUUCAGCUUAACACAGAUCUAUCGGCAUCGGCAAUGUUAGGAUCUGUAUUUUAGAAUUGUCAAGUUCCUCCCAAUUGGUGGGGGAUAUGGUAUGCCUCCGGAGUUUUUCGCAAAUAGUUCUGGAACAUCUCAGGUGACUGAUUUAGCAGGAAAAGCUCCUAUAACAUCGGCACCUCCAUUUUCGCCGAUGACUCAAAUUCCUCAGUAUUCUACAACUACUACUGCACUACCUGUUACUGGGAAUUUUCAAAUGCCAACGUUCCAGAUGCCUAACGCAAAUUAAUCGGCAGAUCUAUUGUCGACUCAACAAAGAUUCAUGACUCAGACAGGGUAUGUCAACCCAGCAAUGACAUCCAAUUAUCAGCCAUCGGCAGGCCCUGCGCCGAUGAAUGCUAACAACGGAUGGACAGGGCAGUUUGUCUUUCCACAUGUGACACAACAGAAUCAUGAGGCUACAGGAUUCCAACAAGGACAGAUGCAGGUUAGUUUUCAGAAUCAAGGACCAGCCAAUCAGCCGAUGAAUCUUGCUCAGCAGAUUGGUGGCCAGCAAGCUAUGGCCAAUGUUAUGUUUCCUAGAGAACGUGCACCUCAGAGACACGUGGAAGCUUAUCAGCAGGUGCCAGAACCUCAACCCACACAUCGGCAGGAUGCCGAUGCCCAUUAGGCCGAUAAGAUAGCAAAAGUUAUGAGGGAUCAAUUUGCAAUAAAACCAAAGGUCAUACUUAUUCUUAUCAGACAUCGUAUCCUCCUACAUAUGAUUUGAGUCCACUCCCAAAUCGGUACAAAGUACCAAAUUUCACUAAAUUCUCUAGACAAGAUGAUACGUCAACUAUGGAACAUGUUAAUCGGUUCAUCAUCCAAUGUGGAGAAGCUGCCAACAGAGAUGAUUAAGAGUUCAUUUGUUUUCAUCCUCUUUGUCUGGAUCGGCAUUCACUAGGUUUAUUUCAUUGCCUCCAAACUCACUUAUUACUUGGGCCGAUCUAGAGAAGCAGUUUCAUAAGUAUUUCUUCUCUAUGGUUCAUGAGAAGAAAAUUACCGAUCUAAUUAGACUGAGGCAACGUAAUGAUGAAUCAGAGGAGAGUUUUGUGUAGAGGCUGAGAGAUGUAAAGAAUAAAAGUUACAGUCUGGAUCUAGAUGAUCGGCAGUUAGGCGAUUUGGCUUUCCAGGGGUUAUUGCCAUAUAUUAAAGACAAAUAUGCUUCUCAAGAGUUUGAGAGUGUGAGAAAUUUGGUACAGAGAAUUUCUGAUCAAUAUAUCAAGGCUUUUGAACCUAGGAAAGCUUGUAAUAAGAAAGUGUCAUUUGUUGAUGAAGCAACAAGUUCAGAUUCUGAUGAAGAACCAGUCAUCGGCUUGGUAGAGUGGGUGAAGAGUAAAAAGCUGAUGUCUUGUCCUUUUGGUCAAAAGGAACCAGAAAAGUUUGCUUUUGAUAUCACCAAGGCUGAUAGGAUAUUUGAUUUCUUGCUUCAGGACGAGCAGAUUAAAUUGUCACCUAAUCAUGUGAUCCCAUCGACAGAGGAGUUGAAGAAAAUCAAUAUUGCAAAUGGCAUAAUGUAACGUCACAUAGCACAAAUGAGUGCAAAGUGUUUAGGCAGUAGUUGCAAUCGGCUAUAGAAUUUGGACGGAUCAAGUUUGAUAAUUCCAAAGCUUAGAAGCCGAUGAAAAUUGAUCAACAUCCUUUCCAUGUAAACAUGUUGGAUGCCAAAGGUAAGACUAAGGUCCUAACAUCAGAGGCAGCCGAAAAGAGCCCAUGGUAGAUCCUCAGCAUCAAGUAACCACCGAUGACACUAAGGGAAAGGGCUUGAUCAAGGAAGGUAGCAGCUCUGGACGACCCCCUCGAUCUAGUGUUGUGAUUACCCAAAGGCAGCAUCGAGAAACAUGGCAGCAACGUGAAGAUUGGUAUCACCGUCGGCAAGAGGAUCGAUGCCGAGAAGAAGAAAGAUGCCGACAAGAGUGGAAUCGACAUAAAGAUCACUAGAAUUGCCCGUUCUUUAUUCAUUGCUGGGAACAAAAUAUUAAAUUACCCACUGUCAGAGACUGUCCUAAAUGCAAUGGUUAUAAUCGGUAUGAUCGGUCAGAUCGGCAUUUUUAGAACAAUGAUCGACGUUUUAAUGAGCUGAUCAGAGGAAGGAUGUCAGUCCAUGAUCGGCUGGGGGGUAGGCUUAGCGUGCAUGAUAGGCUUGGUGAACGUGUUGGUCAUUUUCCAUGGAACCAAGAGGAACUUGAAGAAAUGGCAAAUGCAUAGGUUCCCGAUGAGUUUAUAUUUUGCAGAGAUGCUAAUACUCAUCGAGUAGAGUCAAGAGAAGUUGGCUAUUAGCCAGUGCAGACACCAAAGCUUCCCCAAUGGUGCCUAGAAGGACUAACAAGAACACAGAAGAGAAAGAUGCAGCGAGAACGGCAAGAAGAAUUGAGUUGGGAAGAAAAUUCUUCUAAGUCUGAAAAUCGACUGCAAUCGGACCGUAAGGGGAAACGACCAUCGGUAGAAGUUAACAUGGUAUUUAUGUUGCUGAUAGAGUUUCUUGCACCCUUUAGCGAUGAUGAGGAAUUAAAUCUCCCUGACUAGAUAGCUCAGUUGGCACUUGAUCCAAUGAUAGCCAUGUUUGAGAAGCCUUCCGAUGAUGAAAGACAGCAUCUUAAAGCUCUGUUUGUCAAAGGCAGGGUUGAUGGGCAGCCAUUGUCCAAAAUACUCAUUGAUGGGGGGGCUGCGAUCAACAUUAUGCCACAUGUAGUAUAUCAGAAACUUGGCAAGGGAGGUCAGGAUUUGACCAAGACUGAUAUGAUAUUGAAAUAUUUUGAAGGGAAUGUGUUUCCAAUUAAUGGAGCUAUAUGUGUUGAAUUAACCAUCGGCAGCAAGACUUUGCCGACAACUUUCUUUGUCAUCAGUGGAAAAGGUGCAUAUAAUUUACUGCUGGGGAGAGAUUGGAUUCAUGCCAAUUGUUGUAUUCCUUCUACAAUGCACCAGUGUCUUGUUCAGUGGGUAGGUGACAAAAUUGAAAUUGUCUCGGGAGAUUCUUCAUAUGUCAUUGCAUCGGCAGAGUCAGACACCUAUGAGCGUACCAGAUGCAUUUUAGGAGAGGUUUGGGAGAAAGAUUUCCUCAAGCUUACCGAUUAUGAAAUUCCACCAAUCCAAGCUGUUGGUUCUGAUGAAGAGGUUUAAUGGAUAGGUUUGCCGAUGAUGGAAAGUUAGGACAGGGGUUUACAUCGGCUGACGAUUUAAUAGAUAGGUAAUGGUGAUAGGUCAAGACCUACUUUUAUUAGUGCUAAGUUAGAUCCUGAAUGCAAGCAGCAAUUAACCGAUUUAUUAAAGGAAUAUAAAGAUUGCUUUGCUUGGGAUUAUACCGAGAUGCCUGGUUUGGACCGAUCAAUUGUUGAACAUCGGUUGCCUAUUAUAUCUAGAUUUUGGCCACAUCAGCAACCAACACACCGAUGUAACCCUAAUAUUCUUCCGGAUAUUAAGGCUGAAAUAACCAAACUCAUUGAGGCUAAGUUUAUUCGGCAGUGUCGGUAUGCCGAAUGGAUUUCUAAUUUUGUUCCUAUCUACAAAAAGAAUAGAAAGUUUCAUGUUUGUAUCGACUGUAGAAAUCUCAAUAAAGCUAUGCCGAUGGAUGGUUAUCCAAUGCCAGUUGCCGAUUUGUUAGUCAAUGGUACGGCUGGACAUCGAAUUUUUAGUUUUAUGGAUAGCAAUGCAGGGUACAAUCAAAUAUUCAUGGUUGAAAAAGAUAUUCCCAAGACUGUAUUUAGAUGUCCCGGUCAUGUUGGAUUGUUUGAAUGGAUAGUCAUGACUUUUGGCUUAAAAAUUGGUGGUGCUACAUAUCAGAGGGCCAUGAAUUUUAUUUUUCAUGAGUUCAUCGGCAAGUUGGUGAAAAUCUACAUUGAUGAUGUGGUGGUUAAGUAUGGGGAUUUCACAAAACAUCUAGCCGAUUUGCGAAAGGUGUUGGAAUGCACAAGAAAACAUGGUUUGAAAAUGAACCAUAAUAAGUGUGCAUUUGGUGUAUCGGCAGGUCAGUUUCUAGGUUUCAUGGUACAUUAGAGAGGGAUUGAAAUUAGCAGAAGGUCUAUUGAUGCGAUUGGUAAAAUAGUUGCUCCUACCAAUAAAACUGAACUUCAAUCACUGAUCAGCAAGAUUAAUUUUAUCAGACGAUUUAUAUCUAAUUUGUCGGGUAAGAUUCGUGCUUUCAGCCCUUUGCUUAAGUUAAAAGCCGAUCAGCAGUUUGUGUGGGGAAAAGAGCAAUAAUUAGCCUUGGAUGAAAUCAAGAAUUAUUUAGCAAAUCCUCCAGUUUUGGUUCCACCUCAGCAUGGAAAGCCCUUCAUAUUAUAUUUAUCUACUGAUGAUGUGGUCAUCGGUUCGACUCUCAUUCAGGAGUUUGAAGGGAAAGAACGUGCAAUUGAAAAAUUAUGUUUAUGAUUGUACAUUUCCUGUGUCAAGUUAAGACAUUACUUACUAUUGGCCGAAUGCACUGUCAUAUGCAAAGAUGACGUAGUCAGAUACAUGUUGUCAAUGCCGAUUAUGAGUGGUAGAAUCGGCAAAUGGAUAUUAGCCUUGUCAGAAUUUGACUUACAUUAUGAAUCGGCUAAGGCAGUUAAAGGGCAGAUCAUGGCCGACUUUGUAACAUAGCAUUGUGGUGUAGUGGAUGCUCUAGAAAUUGUUCCUUUGACACUUUUCUUUGAUGGAUCUACAUGUGAUCGGGGAGCUAGUAUUGGUAUAGUAUUGAUUUCUCCUCGUGGAAAGAAAUAUGAGUUUUCUUUACCAAUUGUUGCUACAUCAACAAACAAUCAAGCUGAGUACCAAGCUCUAAUCAAAGGGUUAGAAUUAUUAAAGGAAGUUCAUGCCGAUGCUGUCGAAAUCUUCGGUGAUUCUAUGCUUGUUAUAAAUCAGUUGGUUGGGAUUUAUGAAUGCCAGAGUGAAGUUUUGAUAGCAUGUUAUGAAAGGUGUGUGCAAUUGUUGAAGGAAUUCAGGGAUUUCCGAUUAGAGCAUAUUCCUCGUUUGCAUAAUGAAGAAGCUAACCGAUUAGCUCAACAUGCUUCAGGAUAUCAACCCAUCUUGGAAAUAUUAUCGGUAGUCCGUGCCGAUGAUUGGAGAAAAUAAAUUAUUGAUUAUUUAAAAGAUCCAUCCAGAAAAGCUAAGAGGCGUGUUAGGUUUCAAGCUACAAAGUAUGUACUCCUUGAAGAAGAAUUACAUUAUCAUACAAUAGAAUGAGUUUUGCUCAAAUGUUUAGGUGAAAUUCAUGAGGGAGUAUGUGGAGCGCAUCAAUCGGCUUUUAAGAUGAAGUGGAUGAUUAGAAGGAACGAAUAUUAUUGGUUGAUUAUACUUGAGGAUUGUUUCAAGUAUUUCAAAGGAUGUCAAGGAUGUCAGAGGUUUGGCAAUAUUCAAAGGGCACCCGCAUCGGCUAUGAAUCCUAUUAUUAAACCUUGGCCGUUCCGAGGUUGGGCUAUUGAUCUCAUCGGUCAAAUUUAUCCGCCAUCGAGUAAAGGGCAUAAGUUUAUUCUUGUUGCCACUGAUUAUUUCACUAAAUGGGUUGAGGCUAUUCCUUUGAAGAAAGUGACAUCAGCCAACAUGAUUGAUUUUGAGAAGGAGCAUAUUGUUUACCGAUUUGGCAUUCCCUAAACAAUCACUGCCGAUCAGGGUACUAUGUUUACGUCACGAGAGUUUGAUGAGUUUGCAAUCGGUAUGGGGAUUAAAGUGUUGAAUUCUUCUCAUUACUAUGCUCAAGCCAAUGGACAGGCCGAGGCUCCUAACAAAGGGAUUAUUAAGCUCAUGAAGCGGAAGAUUGAGGAAAAUCCCAGACGAUGGCAUACUCUGUUAAAUGAAGCUUUGUGGUUGUUGAUAUUUGGUAACGCAAUAAGGAAACGAUCCGCAAGCGCACGGAUAUCGGUGAGCAUUUCACUCGGGAGGUUAUCCAGAGUUAUCGUAUUUAUAUUUUUACCACUGGAGAAAGGGUGCAUCUGACUAACCAAAUCUAUUGCUACUAUCCCUUUAGGCUACAAAGAAUGUCUCUCGAUGUGAGUGAUAAAUAGAGAAGACUGCAACCGUAGUCUCCUUCUAACCUUGGUAAGGACGAUCUACUGUUCUAAUGGGGAGGCUAACGGAAUCUAGACACCACAAAGGAUGUUCAACCCGCACCUAUAAACCCUAUCCUUCCUGCUAACAAGAUGUGAUCUGCAAAGGUAACUCGGAAUUGUCACGUUCCUCACUACUACCACGGUCCAGCUAGUCAGGGAAUAUCUAUGAGUACCCCAGCCUAAACACCACGUUUACGCCAGCAAUGAUUACUCUAAACUCUACGCGAAGAGAUUAAAGUAAACUCAUAAACCAUAAGAACAAUAAAACAAGAACUUACUAGAAUUUAGAAGUCGAAAUACUGAAGAAUCCUAGGAGCAAGCUUCGGGUUAGGAGAACUUGAUCCCGCAGGUACAAGCUUGGAGUAGACACCGACAGGCCGGGCUUCCUCCAAUCUACACCUCCACUCUAUCUCUCUCAAUCUAGUAGAAACUAGAAGAUAUAUUUCUACUUUACAUUGGUUGCUAAGCCUAAAAAGAAAUAUUAAUUAGAGAAGAGGUUUUCCUUCGAGGGCACCCCUCAAUCUCUAUGAUAAUUUCUUGUUCUCCUCCAGGGGCCAGGGGCCUUGCUUAUAUAGUCAUCCUCCUCUGUGCGUUUUUGGUUCAGCAGGCGAUGUGGUACUAAACUUUGCACCCUAUCUCAUUAAAAUGCAUAUAGGCCUUAAUGGACCAAAAUCUGAUUUGGGCCCAAUUAAUCCCGCAGCUCUUUUAUGUGGAGUCCUUCUUUUAUUAAUAUCUCUUGAUUCCGAACUCCAAAUAUAGCAAAUAAUAUAUGCAUUUCGAUCAGCUCGACGAGAUCUUUGCAAUGGUGGACUCCAUUCUGUGAUUGGUGGAAACACCUGGGCGGGCGCCCAAGGGGGGUGGGCGGGCGCCCUGCCCCUGGGCCCGUUUGCCUUCUCGUUCGUUCCCGUGGCUUCUGGAGUCUUCUAGAUGAUAGAAAAUUGCGCGGUGCAUUGAUAUCUCUAUGUAAUCCCGACAUAUGGGCCAUUCUUUCGUAUUUCCUGAUAACCCCUGUAGAAAUAGACAAACACCAAAACUCGUGGAAUUCUGUCAGAUAAAAUCCUAAGUCUAGAUGUUGAUUUUAUUUGGAUCCUUUUCUUUGUUUAUUUGAUAAUUAAAUUUGAUACUUAAGGACCAUCAACAAACUCCCCCAAGCUUACCUCUUGCUCGUCUCUGAGCAAGGAUAGACUCAGCAAUGGAUUAGAAGUUGUUGCAAUAUCUUUAAAAAUUGACGGUACACAUGCUUUUUAAAUAAGAUCUCAUCUUUGAGUUAGAGUAAACUGUCAAGACUUAAAACUUACUUUACCUUCACCAUGGGACUUGUAACCGUCACUUCUGUCUUGAGAGGUUAAAAGUUAGAACAGUCUAGCCAAGUGCCAUGUCUCUUAUUCUUGAUCAGCUAUAGCUCUGGGUUUUUUUUUGCAGAUUUUCAAAUGAAACUCAGAGAUUACUUGUUUGACUCUCUCAUAUCUCUCUUUUGUGGUAUUUCUGGAUCCUUACCAAGGCAUUGAUGGUAUAUGUCUUCUCUCAAGAUAUGUGGUAUUUAUGGUAUAAGGCAUAGUGACAUUGCCUUCUCUCUCACCCUACUCUAAUAAGGCUUGAUAUCUGGAGCUCAUAGGUGAGAGACAGCUAAUACAUACUUACAAGACAUUUAUUGCAUAGUCAAACCAUGGAUCCAGAGAAACAAAUCAAUAAGCCAAAUCAAGAUGUGCAUGUGUGGCGAAUGAAUGGUGUAUGGUGAUGAUGGUAAUAACAAUUGUGAAAGUCUAAUUCUACUUUUGCUCUUUUGAGGGGAUACAUACCUUCUUGCUUUUUGAAACUUUAUGAGGAGAAUGAGAUGCUCUUCUUUUUCUUUCCUCUCAGGUGGGUAUCUUGUACCCCUAAUUCUACUGUCGGACACUUGUCUAUUUUUACCUCUCGUCUCACUUUUUCUUUCUUUCGAGGUUCCGAGCACUUGCCCCUUUUUAUUUCCUCGUUUAUAUAUUUUUUUCUUCUCUUUUCUUUCUCUUUUUUUUCAGAGCACUCAUCUCUUGAGAUAAUAUAGCAAGUGGUAGUAACCAAAAUAUUUGGAGCAUUUAUUUCACAGGGAAUAAGAGGGAUAAGAAAAUGUUUUUGACUAUUCUCUCCCGGAUUAGGAGUAGAAUAUUUUUGGGUGAUUCUAGAGAUGGAAAUGGAUGGAUAUAUGUGGAUGGUACUUCCGGAGUAGAAGUAGCAUAUAUGAGUGUAACAUCCCUGAUGUUACGAUUACUAAAAACGGAUCAUGUCAUCAUAAGCAUUGCAAAGCAUAUUUGUUAAAGCACAUUAGUAUGCAUCAACUUAAAAUAAGUUUACCUUGAUUGCUUGAGCUUAGGGAAGUAGAGUGUGCUUCUGUGGUGUGUUGUUGCUUGUGUGGUUGCUAAAACCCUAGGGUGGAAGUUUUCCGAAAAGCUAAGGGGGGGAAAACCCUGAUUUCUGGAUCCUAGAUUUGUCCCCUUUUGCAUAAGUCAAAAACUAAGCAAAAUUUGAGGUUGAGUUCAAAAGCAAAGUUGUAGCUCUUGGCAAGAUGUACAACUUUGGUGUUUUGAGUUUUUGAAGUUUCAAUACAAAAUUCAAAGUAAUUUUGAAAAUACAGAUUUCCAG
rnacentral:lncRNA from 1 species